rnacentral:lncRNA from 1 species
AUCAUUACAAAAAUAGUUUACCCAAACACCAAACUCUUGGAAAGCCUUCCAUUCUCCUCCAAGCUCAUCAGAACCACCGUUAGUAGUUCUUUUAAAUUACCUCCAACCAUCAAUACCACAUCUUGUAUCAACAAAUUAAUUUUCUUUUAUAUAUUAAAUAAAACCAGCCUCAAAUUAAUCACUCUUUAGUGUUAAAUUUAACUUUGUAAUAUAAAAAAAAGUAACUUUGUUAAAUUAAUCACUCUUUUCCAUUACUACAAGUAAGCAAUCUAAAGGAAGAACAUAGUGGCACAACUUCAAAACAAGUUAGAAAGAAACAGCAGCUCUUUCCAUUCAGAGGCUUCGUCUGCCAACAUUACAUUUAGCCGGUUACAGUUUUUCUCCUCUCUUACAAACAAACAUUACAAACUAAUCAAAGUCACCAUAAAGUUAUGCUAGUUCUAAAUUUAAGAAACUAAGAAUAUCAACAGUUAUUGGAUAUUUAAAACCUGAACUUGGUUCUAACCUUACAAAGAUACAGUUUUGGAAGACCCAAAACCUGAGAGUAUGUAAGUAUCUAUGGACAGAAUUUUGAGGAAUACUAAGCACUAGUAAUAAACAUAAAUGAAGAGAUUAGAAUAUGAACAUUAGGUAUUAGGUAAACCUCAUCAGAAAUGGCAAAGUUCCUCCUGAAAACUAUGUUUAUUUGCUAACCGCUCGUGGAAGUCAUCUGGAAGUAGCCAUUUGUAUUUAGAAUAGUGUUUCGAGCAGUUUCGGAGAGGAAAAGCUUGCCACAGAUUUGAACUGGUAUGAAAACAAGAUCAUUAGAGAUCAUCUAGGAAACCCUUAAAUCAAUAGUACUAAAGUUCCUAUAAAAGUUUUGGAAGAUGCAAAUUGAGCUUAAAAUGUUUUAAUCAAGUAUAACUCAAGUUCAAAGAGACUAUUACCCUUUGUUGUCUAUAUUUCACACGGAUAGCAGAUAGAGAGCAAUCGUUGGUGUUCAACUGUAAAUCUUGCAAUAAGAGAACUGUGGUUUUUAGAUCCAAUACGCUGUACGUGGUAUAGUGUUCAAGAGUUGGAUUCUGCCAAUAAGGGAAAUAGAGUUAAGGCCUAUAUGUACAGGUCAUAGAACUAAAUUAAGGACCAAUGAAAAGAAUGCAGACCCAUGGAUGACAUGAUUGAUCCAAAGUCCAUCUCGCAAGAAAUACAGCAGAUGCAGCCACCAUAGAAGGAGAGAAAUUUAAGAAACCAUAGUCAAUCAAAGUCAGUUCUGCUAGAUAAUUUGCCAAGUAUUCCAGUUCUAAACUAGGAGUCUGCAAUUGGCAAUUAGUUGUAGAAAAUUCAGUCAUAUGCUACAUAAUAUGAGAUCAGUAGUGUCUCAAUUAAGGCCAGCUCUAUCUGUUACCGUGUAAGAAGCUUGUGCUGCUCUCAGAAAUCUCCUGAAAAACAGAAAUUUGUGCAGGAAAGAGAAUUAGGAUAACGAUGGAGUAUUCUAAGAAUGUCAGUAUUUCAUAUGCAUGCAUUGCAUACGUGGAAUUGGGCUAAAAUACCUGAGAAAAGUUUUUGCAGUAGGUGCAAAUAGUUGAAAUCCAAUAUACUUCAAUACUUGACUCUCCAUUUUUAGCACCUGUCAAAUUUUCAAGUAAGAAAUUUAAAUAUCUGGACAAGGGAAUAAAGGAAGAAGAAAUAGAAAUGUAAUCCAGAUUUUUAACUUCAGCGGGCUCUUUAACCAUGUCAAUUUCAUUUGCACAAUACUUAACGUGCAAAGUGUACUACAUAGCUACAUGCAUGGAUACAGCAUAUAUAGACACAAAUAUAUACUUAUACAUGCAUUAUAGACGUUUAUGUGGACCCUUAAGAACCCCAUUUUGUUUAUCUCAAGAUCAGAACUAGUACCUAAAUGACGAAGCAAAAAAUGUGGGUCAAAAACUUUUAAAAGUCGUUUAAUUACCAUCAGAGAAAAGAAAUGAACGAAAACCACUAGAAAUAUAACCAUCCUGUCCUCCUUUCUCACCAGCCUUUUCCUUUUUUUUUUUUUUUUUUUCUCUUUUUGAAGUCAGAAAAAAUUCCAGCUUCAAACAUAUUCUUCUUUUUCCUUAUAUUGGUGCAAACCAAACCCUAUGUUCUCACCUAUUCACUGAAUUGGCAACAAAAAGCUCCUAUAGAACUAAGUAAAAACUAUGUGCAAAUAAAGACCAAAAAAGUAGUGUCAGCCUAUACCAAAAUUUUGACAAAUGUUGAAGUAGAUGUCUGUUAGUGAGAUAACAAUGGAAUACCUCCUCUCUAACAUAAGUGUUGUCAGUGAUGAAGCAAAAUUCCUCUACACGUGGUGCACAUAUUUCCUCAUACUUGCUUCAUGUUUAUAAAGAGAAACUAAUGUUAGACGCAACGAAAAGCAAAUGCACAGGUUAUUUCAUGAUGAAUGCUCCAUAAUUGUAAUCAUCGUGAUUAAGUACUAUUCACAGGAGAAUAAUUUAAGGCUCAGGUAUGACAACAGCAUGAGAAUCACUUUCCCUUACUUGCAAGAUCAUCUGUUUGUCAAACUUGACAGGAAACUUUAGUAAUAUUACAAUUUUGGACUGUCUCUCAGGCAAUGUGAUUAUAUUUCUAAAGUUUUCAAUGUUGUCUUUAUUCAGCCAUUUCCUUCUUCAAAACAUCACUGUCAACAUCCAGCAAUGCUCUGACAUUAAGUGCUUAGCACAAAUGAUAGUCAUUUAGAUUCAUUGCUGUUCGUCUUCAAUUUCUAAUUUCAGCAUCUGUUCUGUUUUCAGUGCUAAACACAAACUAAAAAUUUGAAUGACUGAAAGAAAUCAUGCAACAAACUCUGUAAUGGAUGCAAAAUCUUACGAGGCUAUCAGCAUGCAGGUGAUCCCAAGAAGUUGAAGUCUCUGCCUUUCUAUGUAGUUUUGAGAGAGAAACCAAUCAAUUAAAUACACUGUUAGGUAUAGUGUGUCAGGGACCAACUUAUAUUCUUCAGAUACCUGAAACCAAGAUGGAACUUCCUUUGAACAGUUGUGCAGGAAACAAAGAAUAGAAUUAUUUCAUCAAGAAGACAUUAGAUACAGCGAAAAACAUAUCAUUAGUUUUCAACGAGAGAUUAAGAGCAUUUAUCAGCAUUGAAAUGCUAAUACCUUCAAUGUUGAUAUGCAUCAGGAUCAAGAAUAAACUGGCAAAACAUUUUUCAUAACAACAUCAACACUGGUACCGAAGGAUAUAACAAUGUGUAUAUGAUCACCAGGAAUGUUUCUCGUCAGAAAUAACAUUGGCGAUACUUGCUUGUAGUUGAUAGUUCAAAAAUCUAAAGCCCAACUUUCAUGGCUGUACAUUUUAUGCAAUUAAAUGAUAUUUAAAUAGCACAACUAGACUAACCUCCACAAGCCAAUCAACCAAAAUUGCCCGCAUGCUUUGAGUGAUAUCUUGCUGUAUUGUCUGCAUAAAAUUAGGACAAGGCCGGCGAACAAGCUGAAGAAAUAAAAGACAAUCAAAUGCAAAGAUUUGAUGUUCUUGCUAAGUAGAAGACAAGUAGAAAUACAUAAAAGUUCCCUUGUUCACUCCCUGACUGAAGUAGGAAUUCAGAAUUUAAACCAAAAAUGUUAGGUGCAGGAAAUAAGUAAAUGCACUCACAACACAUUAGAAUUAAGAACAUAAAAGUAGAAUCUUUGACUUGUACCCUAAAAAGAGAAUGAACAAAAUUACAUAAUGAUAAAGUCAAUUACUGCAUAGUAUUAGCAAGAACCCAAACUUCUUUGAAAAGAAUCAAGUCCUCAACUCUAAAAGUUUCCUCCAUUCAGUUUUCAUAAGUUAAAAAAGGGUUUUGACAUUUUGUGGAUGAUGAUGCAAAUUUCCUCACUAGGAAGUGCCUCUCUUGGGGAGUUCUAUUUGAUUCAAACUAAAGUUCGGCUCAAACUAUGGCUGAUUCAUAUAAUUUCUAUGUUAAAUACAAGGAAAAUAAGCCCUGGAGAAUACAGUUCCAAAUGCAAGUUGUAACUUGUCCCUUUUCAUGUGUAUCAGAUCACAAGUCAGCUCUCAAUCAAUUUUAAUUUUUGCUAACCUUUGUUUCUUCCAUCAAAAGUCAAUCUAUUAACUUCAUAGACAGUUUGUUAAGCUCAUGAGUUAUGGAUCAAGUCACUGGGCGAUUCACUUUGAAAGUUUGGUGAGAAGACUCCAUGAUUAAUAGUAUAUGGAACUCGUCGAAAAGGGCUGUUAACCUUAGACUUUAUAAACCUCUAUAAAUUAGAAUAAUUUUUGUCUUAUUUUAUUAUUAAGAAUUGUCCUCUUAAAGAGGUUACCUAGGGUUUUAUUCUUGUAGACUAAGAAACUAAACUUAACUUGAAGGAUAAGACAAUAUAAUUAAGGAAACUAAAAUUAUGUACUUUUAAUUGCAAUAAAGUACAUCCUAAAUAAAUGAUUCUAAUUAAAAAUAUUACUAAAAUAAAGUUAUUUAUCUUCUUUCCAUCUUGGGAGCUUUCGACUUCUUGUCUUACCCAUAGAGGCAUCCAUAACAUUGUUCUUUUUUGGGGUUUCUAGCCCAAAGGAAAACGCCUGCUCUUGUUCCUUCCAGUUGACUGGGCACAGAAGCAAACAGGUCUGAAAUACUGACAGUCAGGUGACAAUAGAAUACGGGUAGGCAAUACAUUUCUGAGUAAUUUUUUAAAUGAAUAAAGUCACAGGGGAGCCAAGAACUGCAAAACAUACAGUGAGACAGAAUGCAUACAUUAUGUGCACUUCAGGACACAGUAAGGUUUCACUUGAGACAGAGGCAGUUACUCAUGUUACCAAUUUUGCAAGUUUAGGAAAUGAAAUUCAUUAUCUCCUUAGUCAAUAUAAAAGGAAUAAUAAUGUAUUCCGGAAACAUUAAAAGAACACAGAUAAGAAUGACAUCUAUAGCACAUACCUCUGCAACACGCAAGUUGUUGUAGAUUUCGGGGGCAUAGAGACUGCACAACUGAAGGUCCUUCUUAUCUGAAUCAAUGUCCUUAAAGUCUGGUUCACUAGAUGUUGUAGAGGUCCCAGAAAAGCUAACCUUCUUGGCUGUAACCAUUCCACAACGAAGAACACAAGUAUAUGUCAACCUUUAUGGAUAUAUCUCCAGCUUAUAACUAUUACCAAUACAAGUAACCUAGGCAACGUACAUUUAAUUUUGCAAUCUGGAAAGAAACACAAUGCUUUGCACAUAAGAUUCCAAGACAUUCAGUUCUAUGAAUGUGUUACUAGAAGUCAUCUUUAGCAGACUUAAUAUUUUACUGGAUAUGGAUAAUACAGGAAACUAUAUAUCAAGCAUUUCUGGGUAGUGCUUGGCUUUAUAGAAUUAAGCAAAGAUCCUUGGCGUGCUGUUUAUGAUGUUCAAAAUAUUGUCAAUUAUGCCACUUGGAAUCCCACUUUAUACAAAGGAGGCACCUACUAUUUGGUUUUAAAAGGAACCUAAAAUUAAGUCUCAGAAAAAUCAAUUUAGCCUUUUCAUUGUGUCGAUGUCUCUCCUAAUAUCACUGAAUAGAUGUAUAAGCAUGUCUCCAGUGGUUUCUUUUUUGUCUUUUAUUUUAUGAAUAUCAUGUCUCAGAUCUUUAUCAUUAAUAUGAAAUUUCAUAUUUCAUGUGCCACUCAUAUGACAUGUAAGCAAUAUAUUUAAGUUGUAUCACCUAUCAAAGUAAGUCUGCCAACAGUUGGACUCAAAUGCCUAAGAUUGUUAAGCACACAAUUCUCUCUCCAAGAUGUACUUUAGCCCAUCUAACCAAACCUAAUAUAUCUGCAUUCUUUCAAAAGUAUUUUAUAACAACUUUGAAGGUGAAUAAGGGCAAAGGAGAAGGCAAACCGUUUCUUGGAGGACUUUGGGAUCGUAAAGGCAUUGUGGAAUUUUGAUUUGCAAACCAGUGGUAAUGUAUGCUCUCCUCCUUUAUGCUAUUUAACGGAAAAGUAUGAUCUCCUCUGACACUAACUAAACAUGUAACUUCUAAUUUAGGAUCUAUUUUUUCAGUCUCUUGAAUGCCUUCUUUCAGUAACUUAGCUUCAGUUUGCAGGACUUGAUGUGCUACAUCUGGGGCCACUUUGGAUGCAGUGGCCUGUACCUUUCUAGUCUUCUUGCUGCUCUUAGACUGGAAUUGUCAAAAUCAGAAAUAAGCAAUAGGUGUUAUUGUGCUUCUUAUAAUUUUACUAUAAAAAACCUAGAAACAUGUGAAAUUAAAACAUAUGAUCAGUAAAAAAACAUUUUCCAUGAAACAGAUUUAAUAUUCAUACCAUAACACAUUACAUAUAUACAUGUAGUCGAUAUCAUAAUUGACUAAGGAUAGCAAGUUGACCUGGAUUUUGGUCGCAUUAAUGCACAUUCUAUACGAAUUAUUACAGCAAACAUUCGUGACAUCCUGAAGCACUGCUCUCUUCUUACAAUGAUGACCUGCAUUCUCUGCUGCAUUGGUGUUGUUUCCAUCUGAGGCUGUUCUUUUUGUAUUUGCUCGCAAAACCCGUUUCUGAUCUGGUUGAGUAGGUGCCUUCAGAGGCAACUGUCGAGAAGCACACAAUGCAGCUGCUCGAGCACGUGUGAGUCGACGAUUAAAUUCUCCACUAUUAGCAGAAACUACAUUUUCUUUCCUCAUAAUUGCAAGUCUUGGAAAUUACAACACAGAGCACUAAAAUGAAGCUAGAAAGGCAAAACCUGCAUCAAUGGAAAAAAAAAAUCAUCAAAAUAAGGAGAUCAAGCAACAAGGUUCAUUAAAAACUUUAGAUUGGGUAAAAAGAUGUGGCAAUGUCUGAUAACAAAUCCCACAGGCAGAUAAUGUUACAUGAUAACAUGGGGGGAAUUGAUGAUGCCAAAACAAGAACUUAUUUAUACUUAAGUAUUACUUAUUUGCCAAACUAUGUCUCUUUACACUUAUGAUUUGAUCUAUCAGAUUUGAACAUGAAAUUGCUAUUAACUUCACCAAACCAUACACCACACAGUAAAUAAGGGUAUUUAUUUAGGGACCUUUAGCUCCUUUCAAGUUGUUUGUAAGAAAAAGAAAAUUCCAGGUUUCAAUGUCUUGUUCUAUGACAUUGCAGAAAUAAUUUAAAAACUAGAAAUACGAACAAAUUAAAAAAGCUUGUCCCCUCAAAAGAGAAUGAAAUCCAAAGCUAUGGCAGUGCUAAGAACUAAAACGAAAUCACCUUAAAUUUUGAUAAAAGGAAAGAAAUCGAAUAUUGAAUCAGAAAUCUUUAAUAACCUAGAGGUAGAAAACAAAGCAUAGAUUUGAAUCUUAUAAGAAAGCAUUCUUUCAAAUUUCCUGGGUCAUUAUGUUCAAAUUAGCAAUUUAAACAACAAUUUAAAUCAACCAGAAAUCAAGGGUUACACUUACAAAGUUCAAAAACAUUUGACAAAAUUAACAAGCAACAACAAUGUACAUUGAAUUUUGACAACAAGAAGAAACUAAACAACAUAUGGAAACAAAUUUUUCUGUCUACAAAAUGUUUCCAAAUGUAAAGUAGCUUGAAAAAAGAUUUCAACUUAGAAAUCAUUUCAUUUAAAAAAAAAGAGAGUAAGUUAACAUCCUUAAACCCCAUUUUCUUAAAUACCCAUUUCGCUCAAAGCUUUAAAAUUUUCAAAAAUUGAAGUAAACCAAGAAGACCCAAAUCGAUCUGGUGGACUCUGAACCAUUAUAAAUUGAUAUUCAACAGCAAAAAAUGAAAAAAAAAAAAAAGAAGAAGAAAGGGAAACUUUUGCAAAUGAGUGUCUUAUAGAAUUAAAUGAAUGUUCAUAAAGUUCGAAAAUUUGACCUGAUCUAUUAUCCUAUCCUAAGCUCCAAGAACAUGGCUUAGAGCUCGGAAGGAAGAAAAGAAGGAAUUCUUUUUUUAUCUAGAAGAAAAGGCAGAGAGAGUGAAGUGAGCGGGACAGCGUGUAGGUUUAAAUUUAGGAAUUAAAAUUGAAAUGGUUUAAACAUUAUUUAAAUUUAUGAAGACAGACAGACAGUUCAUUGUCUGAGAGGUUGUUAAAUUGGUUCUGAUUUUCUGGUUACGAGGAGUUGGAUUGCUUUGAUUUUUUUUUAAUUGUUAAUGAGUACGUGUUUGACCUAGAUUCGUUCGCUCUUUGACUAGCUCCUACAAUUUGAAGGGUAUGAUGGUGAAUGUCCUCCCCCAUUGCUUUGAGGUGGAAAGCUUAAGGCACGAUGAUUUACUUUAAUCUUUAAAUUUAUAUAUUUAUCAUAAAAAAUUAAUUUUAUUCACUUUUUUGACGCAGCAUAGAUGUCGCAUUAAUUAGUUUUUAAAAUUAUAAAAAAUUAGUAAAAAAUAAUUAAUUACUAACGUGGCAUAUACGUGAACUGUAACGUGAAUAUCAUAUCAACAAAGUUAAAAAAUAUUAACUUUUUCGUCUAUUUUAGAGUGAUUUGAGAAUUAAAAAAACGAAAAAUUAAAUAAGAGAUAAAAUUAUUAUUUUUUAAAAAGUUAAAUAUCUAUAGCCAGCUUUCGAAUGUGAAGUAUUUGGAUAAGGAGUUUUCUUAUUUAAAUAAACUACAUGCUUUUCAAAAAUAAAGAAAGAAAGAAAGAAAGAUUGAAGAUUAUUUUAUUCAAACAGCUGUUCACGAUGGGGUAUCCCAGGCCAUCUUAGGUGGAGUUUAGAGAACGAGUUAUUGAUUUAAAUAUUUAUUAUUUUUAAAUAAUGAUAUGGGUUUUUUUAAGGGGUCAACUCAAAUAUGGGCAGGAGACUAUAUCUUAAAAUAUUCAACUCAAUCAUUAUAAAAUAAUAUUAAAGAAAACAAGAAAUAAGCCAAGGGAAGUCACAUAGCAUAGUGGAGAGAUGGUUAUUUAUAAGACUGAGAAUGAACUAUGGUUAAUGAAUUGCAAUCCAAAUUGGUGAGUAUUAAUGAUGCUCAAUAUGUUUGUCAUUUUGUCGAAUAUCAAGGUAGUAUAUAUUGGUUUGUCAAUAGGUAUAAUAUAUUUUAUUCCUGUAUCUAACAAUAUUAACACUAAUAAAUUUAAACAAACAAAAAGAAAUGUGAAAGGUAAGAAAAUUGGUUAUGUACUACGAGUGCUUUGGAGUGAUAGAUGAAACUUUUAUUGACUUGAAGUAUUUUAGAUGAAUUCUCUGUUUGACAUGAGAAUGAAUUAAAAGUAAAUUGUAAAGGUGAAGUAGUCUAAUUACUUGCAUAACAAAAUAAUUUUAACCUUGUACUAGAUAAAUGAGAAUUAAUGACUAUUAGAUUUGACAAAUGGUAAUAAUGAUUAAAACCAUGGGAUAAAAUAGAUUUAGUAAUUAAUGACUAAUUUGAAUGAUAAUGUCCAAUUAAAAUUUAUUUGUAGCUAAUUAGAGUAGUCAAUUGGUUAAUGGGUAUAUUUGUAUAUGCAUAAAUAUGGUUAAUAAACUUAGAAUUUUCUUCAGCAUUAUUAAGCAUGUAUUUGCUUAGCACGCUAGCUGUGUUUGUCACCAUGCUCAAGUUAUAUAUUGAGAUUAACUAGCGGCAAAACUUUGGGCAUCUUCGGAUCUGAGUGUUGGAGCCUUUACUUUUGUGUACCUAUAUUUUGUACGCAUGACAGCAUGUAUUUUAGGUGGUGUUUGCUACUCUUUAAAGUCUAUAUGCAUAAUUAAGGUUAAUUAGAUUCAAAAUGCGAUAUUUGAUAAUGCAUGAAAUAAGAUUUAAUAUGUUGUUGAAUGGCAUAAGAGUUUAUUUAAUUAGAAGUGGCUAGCGUUAAGGUAAAUUGUCAGUUCACUACACCAAAACAGGUUUUUAGCGGCGCUUUUAGCGGCGUUUGGACAAAAAAUGCCGCUAAAAAUCGAGCAUUAGCGGCGCAUCACAUAAAACGCCGCAAAAAACCUAAGCCAAACGACGUCGUUUUCUACCUUUCGGGGCUUUAGCGGCGUUUUUGGAAAAGCGCCGCUAAUGCUCAGAUCUUUAGCGGCGUUUUCCAAGAAACGCCGCUAAUGCUCGAGGCUUUAGCGGCGUUUUUUGAAAAGCGCCGCAAAAACAAUUUAUCUGUCUAUUUACUAUUUAAUUUGUUUAUUUAUAUUAAUUAAAAUUCAAUUUAUUUUUAAUUGAAUAUUUGUUAAAAAUGGAUAAAUUUGAAAUAAUGACACGUAGAAAUAAUUUGAAAUAAAAAAACAUAGAAAAAUAUUUGUUAAAAAUGAAGAAAUUAAAAUACUAUUAUUUAAAAUUAUUUUAAAAUUUUUUAGGUACAUAAUUGAUUGAUUUUUAAUUUAUAUAUUAAAUAAUUUCAAAUAUAAUUGUGAAAGAUACGAUAGUAUUAAUUUUAAAAUAUUUAAUUUAAUUAUCCUUAUAGUUUAGGGUUUAUUAAUAUAAAUGGUUUAGAGUAUAUAUAUGGUUAAUUUAGGAUUUAGGGCCGGUUUAAGAGUUACAAUUUUAAGGUUUAUAGAUUAUGGAAUUAGGGAUUAUGGAUUAGGGAUUCUGAUUUAAAGGUUGUGAUUUAAGGUUUAUGGGUUAGGGGUUAGGGGUUAGAGGUUAAGAGUUAGGGAUUUAGGGUUUAUUGAUUCGGUGUCAAGUUAAGGUUUAGGGUUUAAAUUAAUUAGUGUGUUUUAAUUUAUAUAUUAAAUAAUGUUUAGGGGUUAGGGAUUUGGGGUCGGGUUAGGGUUUAGGAUUUAGGAUUUAGAUUAAUUAGAGUUUUUAAAUUUAUAUAUUAAAUAAUGUUUGGGGGUUAGGGGUUAGGGAUUUGGGGUCGGGUUAGAGUUUGGGAUUUAGAUUAAUUAGUGUUUUUAAAUUUGUAUAUUAAUAAGGUUUAGGGGUUUGGGGUUUGGGGUUAAUAGUUGGUGAUUUAGGGUUUAGAGAUUCAGGGUUUGGUUAGGGUUUAAGGUUUAGAUUAAUUAGUAUUUUUUAAUUUAUAUAUUAAAUAAGUUCUUAUAUAAUUGUAAAAGAGAUAAUAGUAAAUUGUAAAGAUUAUUAAUUUAAAAUUGAUAUGCAAUAUACAAUAAUUGAAUGUAAAAAAUUAUAAAAUAUGUGAGCUUUGGCGGUGUUUAUAUCAAAAACGCCACUAAUAUGUAUUAAUUAGAAUUUUUCAAAACGGUGUCGUUUCAUUACAAGAAUUUAAUUUAUUAGUGGAGUUUCUUCUGUAAACGCCGGAAAAGGUAACAUUAGCGGUGUUUAUGACUAAAAAAUAUUUAAUUUAAUCCAUUUGAUAUAUUUAAAUAUUAGAUUUAAAAAAAUUAAAAAAAAAUGUAACAAAUUGAUACGGAUAUGUAACUAUCUAUUUUGGAUAUAUAGGACCAAAUUAUAACAAAUACAAAAACUAAAAUCAUUCCACAUCGAGCAUCUAACAAAAUAAUUAUAUUUUAGUUAGGAAGAAAUAUUUAAUUGACAAAAAUAUUUAAUGAUAUUUAUUUUGAGAGUACUUGAUUUUUUUAUAAAAAUUCAAUUUAUAAAAAAUAAUAAUAAAUGUUUUAUAAAACCACUUAACUAAUAAUUUUUAACAGACAAAAUAAAAGAUUUUUAGUAUAGCAAAACAAUGUCAUUUUAUUCCAAAUAAAAUAAUUUUUUGCGGCGUUUUUAUGAAAAACGACGCAAAAGGUAAGCAAUAGCGGCGUUUUUAUAAAAAACGUCACAAAUAAUAAUUUUACUUUAAAAAAAUAGCACCCUUUUAGCAUAGCAAAACAAUGUCGUUUUAUUCCAAAUGAAAUAAUUUUUUGCGGCGUUUUUUUGAAAAACGCCGCAAAAGGAAAGCAAUAGCGGCGUUUUUAUAAAAAACGCCACAAAUAAUAAUUUUACUUUAAAAAAAUAGCACCCUUUUAGCAUAUCAAAACAUUAUCGUUUUAUUCCAAAUAAAAUAAUUUUUUGUGACGGUUUUUAAAAAAACGCCGCAAAAGGUAAGCAAUAGCGGCGUUUUCAACCUGUUUUUUUUCACCUUCUAAUACUAUAAUUUCAGCUUAUUUUCACAAAAUUUAAAACAUAAAACAUCGUUACUUUCCCCCUUCCCAUCAUUAACCCUAAUUUGUUUGUGAAAAUGCCUGAAUAAGAACCUGCUUUCAUUUGAGAAUUAAGAUCCUAAAGCUAUAACUUCUUUGUCUCAGUCUUUAUUAUUGGCGUCAUGUUUCUUCGUCGAUUUGCUAUGAUAGUUCCUCGCUCUAGAAGGUUCUUCAGCAGUAAAGAUAGCCUUGAGCUUGCAAGCACCAUAGCUGAACUCAAUAAGGUAUUGCUAUUAUGUGUUUAUAAGAACUAAGAGAUAUCCAUUGUUUUCUUAUUCUUUGUUUGUUCGUUAGUUAACACUUGCGGUAAUAUGACAAUUAUUGAACCGAAACCAUAAGGAUUUGUUUGUUUUUUCUUUGAUUUGAUGUAUCUAAUUGAAGCCGCGGUUCAAUGCCUCUUAUUUUGUCUCACCAUGAUAAGUGUUAUGCCUAUUAUCAAAAUCUACUACAAAUACUUUACUCUCAACAGAAACUAGAAUGCAUGGAAUCUGUUAUAAAUUAGAAUGCCUAUUAUAAACUAGAAUGCCUAUUAUAAAUUUUGGUUUCAGGAAAUGGAAUCUAUCUUUGGUGAACCUCCUCCAGACGGACUAGCCAAUUCUGGAAAUAAAAGCUGCAUGGCUCAAGAUGCCCACCAUAACUCUCAUGUUAUUUUGGUACUUUGCUUAAAGAAUUUAUUGUUUGAAGGUAGAAUUGGAAGUUUCUUCUUAUGAAUCUCUGUUUUUAGGUACUUCAAAUUGUGUAGAUGUUUACGUUUUUUUUUCAAUGUGCUAUUUUCUUCAUGUUGAUUCCUACAAUACUUGCAUAUUAGGCUCUCGGCCCUUAUUUUUUGUGUAUAAUUUAAUCGGUGUGGAAAGGUUUGCCUUUGCUGAAUGAUGAUGAAUCUCUUGUUUAUAUAGUGUGCUCUUUUAUCAUUUAUGUUCAUAUGGCUUCGUGUGCUUUCCACAGUAUAUCCCCUUGGUUAAAUGGUUAAAUGGUUAAAUUUUUUUUCCCUCUGUAAGGUUAAAUGGUGGCAUGCUUAUUUUUGUUUAAAUAUUAAAUGUGACGUUCUCUUACUACACAGAAACUUAGUUUGGAACAAUCUAAUUCUAGCCAGCAAGGAAUGGAAGCCUCCAUUAAGAGUUUGCUUGCAGAAAAAGAAGAAUUGGCAAUGGUAGUCUAAUAUAUCAUUGGUUAUGAAGAAAGCUUUGUGUCUUUGGUAAUCCAAUUGCGUUUGUUGGACCGUGCCUUUGAUAUUGCAGCAACUUACUAAUUCACUAUUGGAAAUAGAGGAAGAAAAGGCAAUACAGUGUGCUAGAGAGAAGGCUUCAAUUGAAGCUAUUGAAGAGAAAAGAAAGUUAUACAAUUCUCAGAUAACAUCAUUAUCAGAAAAAUUGUCUGAGGUAAGAGUCUUAUGUUUAUCAUUGGAGAUUUUAGAACUUUAAUUGAAUUAUUGAAAGUGGCUUAAUUUUUAAUUUUGCAAGUUUUUGUUGAUCAGCAAUUUAUUUAUUUUCUAUGUGUAGUAUUUUUCUAUAUUUUUUUAUCUUUCAUCAUGCUAUCCCUUGCACCGCAGUUAACAAAUUGCUUGUGGAAUUUGNNNNNNNNNNNNNNNNNNNNNNNNNNNNNNNNNNNNNNNNNNNNNNNNNNNNNNNNNNNNNNNNNNNNNNNNNNNNNNNNNNNNNNNNNNNNNNNNNNNNNNNNNNNNNNNNNNNNNNNNNNNNNNNNNNNNNNNNNNNNNNNNNNNNNNNNNNNNNNNNNNNNNNNNNNNNNNNNNNNNNNNNNNNNNNNNNNNNNNNNNNNNNNNNNNNNNNNNNNNNNNNNNNNNNNNNNNNNNNNNNNNNNNNNNNNNNNNNNNNNNNNNNNNNNNNNNNNNNNNNNNNNNNNNNNNNNNNNNNNNNNNNNNNNNNNNNNNNNNNNNNNNNNNNNNNNNNNNNNNNNNNNNNNNNNNNNNNNNNNNNNNNNNNNNNNNNNNNNNNNNNNNNNNNNNNNNNNNNNNNNNNNNNNNNNNNNNNNNNNNNNNNNNNNNNNNNNNNNNNNNNNNNNNNNNNNNNNNNNNNNNNNNNNNNNNNNNNNNNNNNNNNNNNNNNNNNNNNNNNNNNNNNNNNNNNNNNNNNNNNNNNNNNNNNNNNNNNNNNNNNNNNNNNNNNNNNNNNNNNNNNNNNNNNNNNNNNNNNNNNNNNNNNNNNNNNNNNNNNNNNNNNNNNNNNNNNNNNNNNNNNNNNNNNNNNNNNNNNNNNNNNNNNNNNNNNNNNNNNNNNNNNNNNNNCAUUGGACUAAUAUUUUCUGUUUUUCUUCAUCUUGAGUUGAUGUGUACAUGAUUUAUUGAAAAAAACCUUUUCGUUUCCGGUAAAUAAUUCAAGAGGUGCCGAACAUAGGUAAGUUGCUUCUUAAGUUUAAGCCUCUUCAUUUAACCUUCAGCCUGGAUGUUUCUUAACAUGUAGAAAUUGUAUUAUUAAUUUUGUUGAUGUCAAAGAAUCAUUGAACCUAAAAGUUUAAGUUAUUAUAUUAGUGCCUUUAUUUUGUUGUUUUUGGUUCUAACACUCAUACCUAAGUCCGAGUAACAUGGUUCUUUUCUUUUUCAAGUUCUAAAUUGUUUAACAAUAGGUUCUUUGUUUUCUUAAGCAGGGAUGAUGAAGAUGAUUCUGUUGCCAAGAUGAAGGCAGCUGAGGAAGCCUUGGAAGCAAAACAAAAAGUAACAAAUAGCUUGUCUGCUACCUGUUCUUUUUUUUAUCAUGUUUUAUAAUUUUGUGACAAAUUGUUCUUGGUACUCUGAAGAUAUUUAUGCAAAAUUACCCUAUGAUUCUAUUGUAUUUAUACUGCAUGGCUGCAUCAUGUAUUUCUUAACUAGUUUGAUAAAUUUUAUGUGUGGUGUUUAAUUUUUCGUUACUAUCUGUGUAACUUGCAGCAAAACCUACAUUUGAGAUAUCUUUCCAUUAUUUAUUUUAGUUUUGAUUUUAAAUUUUUAUUUUUACUUUAAUAUUUACGACAACGUGAGUUCUAACUUUUGGAUUUUAAUUGUGUGUUAUUAAUUUAUUAUUUUAAAUUUUAAAACUAGAUUCAUUAAUUUUUAUAUUUAGUUUUAAAGUUAAAAUUUUCAUAGAAAAUUUAAUUUAAAUAAUAUUUUUUAUUUAUCCUUAAAAAGUAUAUUUAAAGUUCAAAUUUCAAAAAUAAAACAUAAUAUAAUUUUAUCAUAAAAAUAAAUAUUAUUUGAUUAAAAUAAUUUUUUUUAAGAUUAUAUUUUUAGCGGCGUUUGUGAAAAAAACGUCACUAAAGAUCAUGGUCUAUAGCGGCGUUUCUGGGAAAAGCGACGCUAAAGGUCAUGGUCUUUAGCGGCGUUUGCGGGAAAAGCGCCGCUAAAGGUCAUGGUCUUUAGCGGCGUUUGUGGGAAAAGCGCCGCUAAAGAUCAUGACCUUUAGCGGCGUUUUUGGCGGCGCUUCUCAAGGCGCCGCUAAAGGCCUAAAAAAGCGCCGCUAAAAGCCUGUUUUGGUGUAAUGGUUAAACACGAUUGUGGUGAUUCUAUGGUACAAUUAAUAGUUGCUUAUUGGUAAGCAUAAUUGUUGAAAAUACCUUCAAAGUUUGUGGACUUUUGGAUUUGAGUCAUUAACUUAUUAUUAUUAUUAUUGACACAUUCAACGUUAUGAUUUUUUUAGAAAUUGGUCAAAUUUUAAUAGUAAACGUGAAUUGACCAUUAAUCGAACAGCAGAUCAACGAAGUAGACAAUGUGACAUGCUACAUAAGCACAUGACGUCAUCUAUGAUGUCAUCUAUUUCAUCUUCUUUUUUCUUCUCCUCUUUCCCUCUUCCGCUUUAGUUGUUCUCUCCGUUGUGUCCAACUCUGACCGUUGUCGUCUUCCCUCUCACUCCUCACCGUCCCAACCCCCACCACCACUCCCUUCCCUCUUCUUGUAUGGCUGACUAAGGCUUAGGGUGGGUUUGGAUGGCCGGUGCGUUUACCUGCGGUUAGUGUAAAAACAGCGGUGGCGGUGAGAUUAGAUACUGUAGCUUGAGACAAAAAGUAAGCUAAACGCACCGCACCCAAUCGCCCAUCCAAACCCACCCUUAGUUUGGAUGGACGGUGUGUUUACCUCCGGUGAGGUUAAAAACAGCGGUGGUGGUGAGAUUAGUUACUGUAGCGGUGAGAUUGGAUACUAUAGCAAUGAGAUUAGAAACAAUGGUGGAGUGUGUGUUUGGAUUCAAAGUAGCUGUAGCGAUGAGGUGAGAAUAAAAAAUGAUUAUUAAGGACAUCAUAUUAGAAUUGAUUAUAAUAGAAGUUUUUUAAAUUAUUUUGCUUUUUUAAAAUUAUUAAAAUAUGUGAAUUUAUAAAUUCAUUUAAUAAAAUAUUAAAAUGUAUCUUCCAAUAUUUUAAUUUAAUUAUAUAAUUAAUUUAAAUUAUUUAUUAGAUAAAAUGAUAAUUAUUUUUAAUUUUUUAUAGUUAAAUAUUUUUUAUAACAAUGAUAGAUAUUAUUUUCACAAAUAGUAACAUUAUACUUGGAUCCAAUUUUGAAGUAUCUAAACGGAUGAUUUUUAAUAAAAAAAAUAUAGUAACAUAAGACAUAACAAGUUUCAUUAUUACUAGAAAUUAGGUUAUGAUACAAAAUGUUUUUACAAAUAUGGAUUCAUUAAACUAGUUGCAAUGGUUUCCCUUAACAUCGUGAUUUCAAGGUCACUUUCUCUGUUAGAAGAACUCGAUUUACCUCUGUCAAACUAGCUUGAAGAGACUGGCAUGUCGGGUAUAUUCUCAAAUUUUCGAAAAUCAUCAUCAUUUGACCAAGCAUGUCUUCGAAUCUAAUUAUGCAAAACCAUUGUUGCAAUAACUAUUAAAACUUGCUUGUUGAAUGAAUAACUUGGAAUAUCUCUUAAUAUUGGCCAUUUUUUUUCCACACUUCAAAUGUUCGUUCAAUCACAGAGCGUAACGAAGAAUGGGCAUGAUUAAAGAUUUCUUUUUUUCCAGAUACUUGAUGAUUACCUCGACAAAAAUCAGGUAAAUGAUAUCGUUCCCCCUAUAUGGACCUAGAAAACCUGCCAUUUGUGGAUAUCCUGAAUCCACAAGAUAAUAUUUUCCUACAAAAAAGUAAAACAUAAUAUCAAGUUUAAAAAUAAAUUAAAAUUUUUAAUAUUUUUUAUGUAAANNNNNNNNNNNNNNNNNNNNNNNNNNNNNNNNNNNNNNNNNNNNNNNNNNNNNNNNNNNNNNNNNNNNNNNNNNNNNNNNNNNNNNNNNNNNNNNNNNNNGUUCCUUCCCAACCAGGAAAUGCAAAAAUAAAGCACAUGUUGAAGUCACAAACUGCCAUAAUAUUUUGAGUUGGUUCACCUUUCCGUCUGAUAUAAGGUAUUUGACAAGAAGGCGAAAUGCAUGCUUUUAUGUGUGUUCCAUCUAUGGCCCCAAUACAAUCCUUUAAAAUAAAUACAAGCAAUGAGAUAAAAGUUAGAAAUAAUUUAUAUUUUAAAAAUAUAAAGAUUAUGUAAAUUUUACCUUAAAGUGAGGCCAAUAUCUUGUAUCAUGUCGAAUAUGGUUCGGUAUUUCCUCGAAUUGACAUUCAGUGGGUUUAAUCGUGUCUAUUCCCAUUCGAGCAAAUAUAUGCAACAUAUCAGUAAAAAAUUGACUAACAGUUUCCCCAGAUCGUUGAAAUCGCUCUGUUGCAUUUGAAUUUGAUUCUCUAUUUCCAAGAAUGUACAAUGAUAAUGCUAACUUUUCCAUCGCCGAUACUUUCCCAGGCUUUAAGCCAUAAUUUGUUUGCAAAUCAUGCAACAAGCUGUGAAAUAUAUUUUUUGGCAUCCUAAAACUAUUCAUGCAACGAUCAUCAUGCCCAUUUAAUACUUCAUCCACCCACAUUUGACCUGUAUAAUUUGAAUCCAUACGCGGUUGCAUAGUGAAAUAAGUUUCAUGGUGUAUCAAUACACUGCUUAACACAUAUUCUUCCUCUUCAUGAUAAUUGUUGUGCUCAACUUGGGUAACAAUUGUGGCUAUUCUUAGUUGAGCUUCUUCACUUAAUUCAGGGGUAUCAUAAUUCAUAUCAAAACUAUUAUAAAUAUUGUUAAAUUCAUCCAUAACUUGAAAAAGUAAUCAAAUGAAAAUAAAUUAAUAUUUCAUGACAUUCUAUAUAACACGGAAACUUGAUUAAAACCAUAGCAUAAAAAUAUCAAACAUAAAAAAUAUCUUACAUUAGUUUUACAUAUAAAAAAGUAAUAUAGUUAUAUUACAAUAAUAAUUCUAAGGAGCUUAUGGUGGAGGUGGUUGAUGUGUAUGGUUGGAAGGGAAAUGAGGAUGUUGCUACCAAGAAUGAAAAUGAUGCAAUUGGAUUUUGUUCAGCAUACUCACGUCGAAGCCACCAAACCCUAUCAUAUGGAUCUAAGUUCAAAAACACUUCUCGUUUCACCUGUAUUUGGAACAUUUUGAUGGCAAAAUAGUACAGUUCAUCUUUUUUUGGAAUUUCAUCUCCCAAAGCACGCAAAGCAUCCAUUGCAUUUGAAAUAGUAUAUUGAGAGUGAGGAAAAAUAAUUUCAUUCACUAACUUCCUUGGACUAGCCAUACUCUCACACAAUUUCUCAAUAUGAGUAGUUAAUGUAUUUCUUGAUGAUUUUCUACUUGAACUUGAUUUUUUUCCUUUACCGUGUACAACCCCAAGUGUUUGCUUUCUUCGAUUAGGAGUUUCAUGAGAAGGGUUUGAUGGUACCUCACUAGGAGGAAUAUCUUCAUUUUCAUUACUAUGUUCAUCUAAAUCACCAAAUCCCUCAUUAGGUGUAUCAUCUCCCAUAGGAACCCCACUUGGAAGAACACCAGAUGAAGGUGCCCAUGCAUUCUCUCUAGUGGCUACAAUGCCACCAAACAUUUGCCACAUUAACUCAUUCAAUUGUGGUUCAAUUCAUUUCUUCUUAAAUCCUUUAAAAUUAGGAUUUUCCUAUAUAACAUGUUAAAUGUUAAAUCUUAUACUAAGAUUUUUAUAAUUGUAAAUUAUUAAUUUCAAUAAACUUUAUGAAUUAAAUUGGUGAUAAAGUUAAUGCUAACCUGUAUUUUUUCAGCCCACAAUUCUUCAAUAGCAUCGACCGUCUUUUUAGAUGGACACCAUCCAAUACCCGUAGAUUCCUUAAGCAACUCCCUCCAUAACCUCCAUUUUUUUUAAUGUAUCCCACUUAUUUUUCAAUUGAGGUUUUUCAUAAUUUUUUUUUUGUGUUUUUUCUUGAAAAAUAGCAAUGACAUUUUCCCAUUCUUUUGAGUUUAGAUGAGUUGUCGGUCUAUUACCAGCAUUGACUUCAUUCAUGCAAAGUUCACAAAAUAUCAACGUCAGCUCAUCAUCCCAAAUAGCUUUUAUUGCUAAGGUACUAUCUCCCUCCACAAAAUUUCGUGUCUUUACCAUCUAGUAUUAUUAUUUUGAUUUUAAAUGUCAAUCGACAUAAAACCAUAAAUAUAUAAUUAGAUAUAAUAAUAUAGUUUCAUAAAAAAUAAGAAUAAUACAUCAUGAAUGGAUGAAAGCCAUAAGAUGAACAUUAAAUGAAUAAAGGCAUUUUUAGAGACAUUAAACUACCUCUUGCUUUUGGAUGGAUUUAGAUAGUUGCUCUUGUCACUGCAGACAUUAAAAAAAAGGGGGGAAACAUUAGAAUAAAUAAAGAAGAGACAAUAAUCACUAGCAGAUUCAAGGAACAACCAUCGUUGUGCUGCUUGAAGCGAAAUCAAAAAAAGGGAAACAUUAGGAUAAAUAAGCAAUAAGCUGCUUAGCUCUAGUUUUAAAUUGGAGAGUACAUGCAAAGAUUGAAGAGUACUAUAUCGAUAACCAGCAGAAAACUCAUCCAAAUCAGGAAAAUAACACUUGGCAACAAACAGCAAGCAUCGACACAAAUAAAAAGUUAACAGUAAAAAAACAAUGACACAUAAGAAUACAAUUUUUAGUGUGUAUAGUCCCAUUAUUCUUUAACUAUUUUCUCCUUAAUAAACUGAAGAUAUAUACAAAAAUUGUUUAUUUAAGAUGAAAGCUGAGGAGUUCACUUGAGAAUCUGUUGAUGCUACAUUAUGUCCAAGAUAUACACCUUUCUCAAAAAUGGACCCAAUUAAUAUAUGUCAUCUCUCCAAUUCUACUCACAUCUCUGCAAUUCCAGCUUCUUAACCUCAAUUUUGGAAAUUUUGUCAAAUUCAUGUCAACAACAAAUUCCAUUGCUUUUAGGAAAUGCAACCUUGACAAUAUAUAAGUUUGAUAGUUUUUUUUUUAAAUUCAAUGGAGUCAAUUCCUAUUUUCAUCAUUUUGACAAGAAAGACCAUGAAUCUUUUAUUUUACACGUAAGCUUCACGGGUGAAAUUAUAAUACAUGGUUUCCAGUUGUGGAAACAACCUUAGUGAAUGACACCAUGUUUUUACAUGAAUUAGACGAAACAUCAGUUUCUUUUUAGAGUUAUUGAAAGCUUCACAAGUAUCAAACCUAUUUUGUUUCACACUAUUUUCUUCCAAAAUUCCUAAACUCCUGCUCAAUUUCAGUAGCAAAAUUCCUAAAUUCCUAAGCAAACCAAUUUUGUUGCUUUUAUUUAAAAUAAAUAACUAAAUAGUUAAGAAGAAAAAAGCGAUUAACACUUACACCAAAAUCCUAACUUUCAAGCUUAAACAAUGUAUUCAAGUACCGAGCAGCCAAUUGCUUCACAAUCAAGACCACCCAUAGCUAUUCAUUCACGAAAAGCAAAGCAACCCAAUGUUGUUUUAUAUCUAAAAACCAAGCUCAAUGCUCAAAUUCAAGUCUUUAUUCACCCAAAUAUCCUAGCUUUCAAGCUAAAAACGAUGAAAUAAAAUCAAGUAGAACACAACAAAUCACAAGAACCCAAUCAAUACAAUAGAUAACUAACCAACUCUAGCUCUUCAGUUGGGAUAAAAAAAAUAAAACUUUUAAAUCAGAUCUAGGCAUGAUAAUCAUGUAAACAGAAAACAAUAAUUCAAACAACUGGUGGAAGCAUUGAGUUAAAAUCAAUGAACGAUAGAAGCAAAGAUAGAAAAAGUUUGAAUCUUAGGAGAAUAUUUAGAUGGGUUACCUUAGAUUCAAAGGAUUUAUCUCUGUUCUUGGUGAGGAAGUCAGGAGAAGUAAAUUUCUGGCAUAGAAAUGAGGGAACCUAACCUCAAUGAAAAACAAAACGUCUGUGAAGUUCCCAAAUCUGAAAACAAAUAAGGUUGGGAAAGAAUUUACUUUAACUUUCAAGGAUAAAAUGGUAAAAUAAUAAAUAAAAAUAUGGGCAUUUUUGUCUGCUAAAAAAGUUGACUGCCCACUGUGUAUAGACUGGAGCUUUUAGCUCCGGUCCAAAAUGAGGCUGGCAGUGAGGUUGAAAUUUUCAACUGCACCUCACCAUUGUUUAUCCAAACAUCAAAUGUUUGCAAUGAAAAAGAAUAUUCCCUCAACAUUCCAUCUCACCAUGGCUGAUUUUGCAUCCAAAAGGAGCCUAAGUCCAUAUCUAAGCUUCAGUUGAUGAAUUGCAUCACGAAGUUUCUUCACCAGUGUUGCAUUGGGACUCAACAGUUGAUUCUCAGGCAUGAGAUUAAAUUGCAUUGCACUUGUAAAGAAUUGAAACCUAAGCCUAAGCUGCUCCAUAAUCUUGAUUUCACCCAAAUAAAAAAACAACCCAUUCGCCGUACCCACAAAGGAUGAAAAAACCAAAUACCAGAUUUGCAAAUCUACAAAAUAGAUGAGAACAACAUGCGUCCAUAACAACUCUAUUCUUCUAGAAUAAAUAUAAUAACCCUGAAAUCUCAUCAAAAUACUAACAUCUAACAAAAAAUUUGAAGUUCACUUUUAAUAGUAUAUUUUGGAAUAUUUAUGGGGAAAAAAUUCAAAAAUGGAGUCUUGAUGCUUAAGCUUAUUGCCACACACACAAAAAAAUUCAAAUCUUUUGCAAGAAAACCCAUGGUUGCUAUUUGUUAAAGAUAAUAUCAAAGCAAAUUCUUGUUCUUACUAAUGCUUUACUAUCACAUGUAACCUUUUUAGAGAAACAUUGGAACUGUGUUUCCGUACAUGAACUUCACCCAAAAACAAAAAGAAAAGAAAAAUUAGCAGAAAUAAAGCAAACAAAGAAUUUUAGUAUCUUUAAAGUUGCAGCAAUUUGGUACUGUAAUUUACAAAAAAAAAAAUUAUUGGAAAUAUUUAAGUUCAAGAAAGACAAAGCAGCCAAGGUAAGGACUCGAGCAAUCAAGAUAAACCUCAGAACCAAACAAAACCAAUAACAACUUGAAAUAAAUAAAUUAAUAAAUAAAACCCAGACUUUUAAGCUAAGAACUUCAGUAGAAUCAAAUAUAAGAAAAGCAAAAAAAUCAUGAUCAAAGAAUUGCAAUUUCUGUAGAAAAUAUCAUCAAUUUGUAAAGGAAGAAGAAGAAAAAAGCGGAUGCAAAAGAGCACAAACCAGAGAGAGAGAGAGAGAUGUUGAUGAUACAUUUGAGGGAAAAAGGCGGUGGUGGGGGUUGGGACAGGGAGGAGUGGGAGGGAAGGUGGUGGAGGUAGGGGUUGGACACAGGAGAGAACAGCUAUAGUGGAAGAGGGAAAGAGAAGAAAAAACAAAAUGAAAAAAAUUUAUUAAACAAAAUUUUUUGUAUAUGAUGUAAUUUACGACGUCGUGUGCUUAUGUGGCAUGUCACAUAGUUUACUUCGUUGACCAGCAGUUUGAUUAACGGUCAAUUCACAUUUAACGUUAAAAUUGGACCAAUUUUUGAAAAAAUCGUAACGUUGAGGGUAUCAAUUAAAAAAAAAAGAAGAUUAAUGGCUCAAACCUUAAAACUCAUAAACGUUGAUGAUAUUUUUGAUAAUUAUGCCUAUUGGUAAUGGUUGAAUGAAUUACAAAAUUGAUAGUUGAGCUAGGUGAUAGAUACAAUUUAUCGAUAUUGUCACCACAUAUGCCUUUGAGUAUAGAAUAUAGCACCAUUUGAUUGGGAUCGUUGCUAGCUUGAGUUAGAGAGUGGUACAUCUGCAUUUGAGAUUUACAGUAAAAAUGUUUUUUUUUAUUAAUUAGUAUAGUGGAGGAGCCAAGGGGUGGAAGGGGCCCCGACUCCUUAGAAUAAAAAAAAUUCAUUUAGGUCCCUUUAUAAUUUAUAAAAUUUUAAAUUAGUAAUGGUAAAAUUACAUUUUGCCCACCUAAAAAUAACAAAAUUUUGGUUUAAUCAUUUAAAAAUUAUAAAUAUAUAAGCUAUUAAGAUGAUGAAAUUACAUUUUUACCAUUAAAAAAAUAUACAACUUAAUUCAAGUCUUCCAAAAAAAUUUUGGACUUCGGCCUUAAAUUAGUGAACUUAUUUUCUUUAUAAAAAGGCACUCUAUCCCCACCUCACCAUUAAAUGAAUGCAACGGAGUCACCUAGCUUUUAUGUGACUUCCCCUAAUUUUUUUUCUUUUUAAAUAUUAUUUGUGAUGAUUGGAUUAAAUAAAUAAUAAAUAAUAAAUAUAUUAUCGUUAAUUAAAUUUAAUUAAAUUAAUUAAGUAAUAAUAAAUUAAUUUUUAUCUCCAAAUAAUUAAAUUAAUAUGAGAUAAAUAAUAAAUAAAAUAAUUUAAUUUUUUUAGAUUAUUUAAAGGAAGAGUUUAUAUUAAAAAAAAACUCUAUUUACUUUAGAACUUCAUAACUUCACUAGUACAAAAGUUCAAAAUUGAAUCCUAAAGAGAAUAUUUUGAAGGCUAGAAGAUCUCUCCAAAAUCUCAAGAAAUCUCUUAAGAAUUUGAAGAACACGAAAUUUUUUUGAAGGACACUGCAUCAGUUUUGAAGAAAGUUGCUCUUUGAUCUUGUUCAACUAACAUAAAUGAGGCUAAACUUGUUUUCCAAGAUCAAGUCUAGAAGGUCCUUAAAGCGGCAUCAUCCUCCUAAUAUCAAGUUUAAACGAUCUUUAGAUUAAAACUCUCCACAUUCUAAUUGCAUCAACAUAAGACCAAAAACGAUUUUGAAAAAAAUGUGAUUGAUAUGCAAGUUCAAAUAGAUGAUUUGAAUCAAAAGAAUGAACUUGCAUAAUUCAUUUUCAAAAUUCUAAAUGAGACAUCAAAGAUUAAAUGAUAUGCUUGAAACACAAAGGGUUUUCUUUGACAAAGAUGGUUUGGGCUAUUAAAGUUUUCAAAAAGAAAGUCAAUUUGAAUAUUUCUUUGUCAAGCCCAAUUUUAUUUAUAAAAAGGGUCAUCAAGAGACAAAUUUGUUCUCUAGGGAAAGUGACUUAUAAGGGUAAAUUCACUAUGAGUGUGAAUUCUUGAACGAAUUAACACAACUCAAAAUGAGGAUAUCCUAAUGAAGUGAAAUCCCAAAAGAACAAAAGAUGUUCAAACUAAUGCUAAAAGACCUAAGAAAAUUUGGGUACCAAAAUCCAAGAUUUGACUUUAUGUUUGUAGGAGAGAGAGAAUUGGUUCAAGGUCAACACUUUUAGGAAGACAUCAUAGUACCUUGAUAGCAGAUGCCCAAGACACAUGACCGAAGACAAAAGCCAAAAAGUGGAGUAGAGAGUACAUUUGGUGACAAUUCCAAAGGUAAAAUUGAAUAUAUUGGUUCCAUAGGUAUAAAUUCCUCAACUAUUUCUAAAAAUGAGCUUUAUGUUAAUGGUUUUAAGCAUAACCUCCUUAGCAUUAGUCAACUUUGUGACAAAUGGAUCAAAUUAAUAUUUGAGUCUAAUAGGUACAAAGUUGUAAAUAUAGAUAGUAAUAGGAUUCUUUUUAUAGAAUUUAGAUUAGGAAAUAUUUUUAUGGUACAUCUAGAUUAUUUAAAUUCCUCUAAUAUUUGUUUUUAACUAUUAAUGAGAAUGUGUAACACUCCUCGCCUGAACCGAUCAUCGGGCCCAAGUUACAGGAUGCGACGUUUGUUUCUAGAGCAACAAACAAUGAAAUUCACAGUAAAAUAAUCACUUACACAUACAAUUCAAUGUUAACCACAUUCAUUUUAGUUUAAACAAUUAAUUCUGAGUUAGGACCAAGUUGCAAAGUUUUAAAAGUUUUGGGCUGGCAUCGUGGCGUCAUCUUUUCCAAGUUGUGACGUCGCCAAAAUAGUAUGUCACAUCACAACUUCAAGCCACUCGAUGUUGCAACAUCACUUACUAUCAACCGACGUUGCGACAAGGUAGGUUGGUCGUCGGGACUUGGACCUUAUUUUUGGUAAAAAUGAACCAUUGGUUCCUAUUCUAUUGUUUCCAACAAGAACCAUUCAAUUUGUUCAACAAUCAUCACUUUUACUAUAUUCAAAUCUUACCACAUCAUGCUAAACAAACUUAAACAUUUAAAUUUAACAUAUUAACAAGUCAAUCAACACUUAAUCAUCAAUUAAACUUAAUAACUCAACGACAUGGAAUACAAAUAAUCCAAGUUAACCAAACACCAAAACUUAUCUUUUCCAUACCACAUUUAGACUUACCAUUUCAAUUUAUUUACCUAAACUUGUACAUAUUAUGCACAUCUAUGGCAUAUAAGUCUUAAGUAUAACCAUCAAAGUUAGGCCAUAUUUUACAAGCAUGCUUGAAGUUACAAAUGUUCAAAUAUAUUUUCAUCUCAUUCACCUAUUAGCCAAGUUACCAUUUCUACUUCAUUCCAUGAAAUUUCACAUGUCAUACCUAUAAUUAUAAUCCAUCACAUCUAUUAGCAUAAACAUACAUAUAUGCCCAACAACAAGUAUGUUUCAAAUGACCAAAUCAUCAUAUCCUAUGUAAUGGUUAAGUCAAUUGGCCAAGUGUUAAACUCAUUCACAUACUAAGAUACACACCAUGACACUUAUAUACAUGCCACAACCCUAGACUCAAAAUGACCAAAUAGCUACCAAAACGGGGAUAGUGUAAGCAUCGAGAUAAUCCGAUUUGAUGAGUCCCGCAAGGUGACGAUCUACAAGGAAAAGGGAAAACAAACUAGAUAAGCAUAUAAGUUUCUUAAUAAGUUCAUAGGAAUUAAACAAAACUUACCUUAUCUUUCAAUUAAAUACAAUAAGCUACCACAAUUUGGCAUAGUUUGGCUAGACAUGACAAAUCACAACAUUAAUAAGGUGAAAAUUAGCUUAAAAUCAAACCACAUAUAAUACCACAAGUGCUCAAUAUGCCAAUUCAUGACACAAUAGGAAACAAUUUCAAGUUCAUACUCGUUCAAGGAAUAUUGCAUUCAUAUACAUAACAAUGGCCUUACUCAAAUGAAUUAUCUAUUGCCCCAUUCAUUAAUAACUCACUAUUUGAUAAUCAAGUUCAUUUCAUUCCAUUUCAAUUUCUUAUUUUAUAUAAAUUGUUUCACCCGAUGAACCCUAAUAAACGAACUCAGCUACAUAGGUAUCUACACCACACCAGUUGCUCGUCCGAGCUUAAUAUAAACAUGCCAAGUUACCCGUCCGAGCUAAACCAUUAUAAUGACAUUAGGUUACUCGUCCAAGCUAAAAUUGUGUCACAUGUAUUUGUGAGUCCACAACAAAUGUUGGAUCUUGGUAACAUCUGUAAUCAAUCCCAUACAAGAGCGCACAAGACCCUAUUGGGAUACCAAUCGUAUCCUAACAUUUACUAAGUUCACACAGGCAUCUAUAACACAUGUAAACAUUUCUUUUCAAUUUAGUCCAAUUCUAGCCUUUUAAACCAAUUCACAGAUGAGCUGCCACAAAUUGUAGUGGCAAUUUAAGUACUUUGUGGCACUAAACGAGCUUAUUUUCUAGUCGUUUUAUGUUUAUUUAUUACAUUUUCAGUAUUAGUAGCUUAGAUCUAAAUAUUAGCAAAAUAAACAUUUUUCUGCAUGUUUUAAGUGUUUCGACAACCCGUUAGGCCAACUUGAGUCUCAGGAAUGACUAAUGGGUUAGUUGAGUGUGUCAAGUGUCAUUUGAGGCCAAAGAAUACAAAGAACGAUGGUAGUGUCGUGACAUAGAACUUUGAAGCCAAAAAAGAAAUCCUAAGACGAAAUAGGGUGUGCAUGUCACGACACAGACCCCUGUGUUGCAACACAGAUCCCCUAUGUCACGACAUAAGCUGCUGUGCGGCCUAAAAAUUCUUGCGCGCUACGGCUAUGAUUUUUAAGACGAUUAAGGGUAUUUUUCCAAUCUAAAACCUUAAUUAACAUUAUAAUUGAAGGGGCACUUUAGUCUUUUUUAUUUUUACCUAGUUUUUGCCUAUAUAAACAACCUUAUAAUCUUAUUAGAAGGGGAGUUGACCCAGGGAAUUACCCUAGGGAGCCGUCGAACAACCUUUCAUAUUUUUAAUUUAGGUUUUCAAUUUUCUUUAGUUUUUAUUUUAGUUUCUCUUAUGUUCGCUUAGUCAGGAUCUUUCUAUUCCAAUGUGAAGACGAUAAUGAGCAGAUAUUGUUUUGGAAUUGCACUUCCAUUAUUUAUUAGUGAGCAUUCUCUUUAUCUUAUUUCUUUUAUUAUUUUAUUUAUAUUUUCAUUAACUUGAUCAAUUAACAUAUGUAUGAAUAUUAAGAUAAAUUAUUAUGCUUUAUUUAUAUCUUGCAUGAUUCAAUUAUAGAACUGAUUAACUGAUUAGGGAAUAAUUAUUGGAUGAAUAAGGGUUUCGCAUAAAAUUAGUUGGUAUAAAUUAUGUAUGCUUAAACCCUAGGAUUGACAAAUAUGAAUUUUAAAACACGUAUUUGGUGUUCCACAUUGCUUAGAAUUAAAAUGGGAUUGUUUUGAGUCAAAUUAAGUGUGCUUUGAGGUCAUUUUUAGGUCCUAGCAAACUUCUAUGGAUACAAGUGGAUAGAUGUACUAGUACAACUAUGUCAAUAGCCAAAAGUGACUAGUAGCAGGGACUUCUAUCGAUACAAGUAUGUCAGAACAGGGUCCCUCCCCUGUUAUGACUCGUUUUGACCCUUGGAGACCCGAAUUCAAUCUCGAUUGUCCCUGGACACCUAGAACUUGUUUAAAAAUGUUUCUAAAGUGUUUAAAAUUACUUGAAAAUGUUUUUAAUCUAAUUGAAUGUUUUGUAUAAGUUGACGAAUGCUUGAUGUUUGUAUUGAACAUGAAAUAUAUGUUAGUUCAAGUUGUUUUGACAACGAAUGUAGUGUCACACAUUCGGACCCGACAAUCGAGUCAGGUGUGAAGUGCUACAUUGAUAGGGAUUAAAUUGCUCUGCUUUUUUUAGAGAGACCAAUUUACUCAAUUUCAAAAUUGAAAAAUUGAGAGGGAUUGAAAAAGUUUGGUAAAAAGUGUCUUUAAUAUAUAUUGGAUCAUUUAUAAUCACUCUACUUCUCAAAAAGUGUAGUUUCAAUCUUAUGGCAAACAUUUAUCUCUUAAUCCCAUCCAACAAUAUGAUAUUUAAAAAAAGUGAUGGCAUGAUGUAUAGGCUUAAAUUUUUUUUUUCAAUCAAGCAAAUAUUUCAUAUGCAAAAUCAGCCCCUAAACUAUAUAUUUUUCCUCACAUAAGUAUUUAAAACAUUUUUAGUAAAGAGUGAUACUUAAAAUAUAAUUUAAUCAAAUCCCAAAUAUUAUGUCUCUUGAAAAUUUUGUGAACCAAUUAAAAAGAUAUUUUAAAUUUAAUAUUAAAUAAAAAUAAGUUAAAUUUAAAAAAUCAUAAUUAAUAUUACAUUUACAAUUAUCUCUCACUUCUAGGAUUCUGUCUUCAAUAGGAUUUUUCUUCCUUGUUUGGUCUUUGAUUCUUUACAUUGUUUAUGAGCAAAUUCCAAACCCUAGGUAUAGGGGUUUCAAAUUCGUGGGAGCAGGAUUGCAUGACAAAGUCAGCUACUUGGUUGGUUGACCAAGCUUUGUUUGGUUAAUCAAUUUGUGUAUAUUUUCAUUUAUGGAAGGAAAAAGUCUAUUUGGUUCUUCAGAAUAUCUAGGAAAAUGAAGACGAAGGAAACAAGGAAAAUAAAUUAUAUAUCUUUUCAAUUUAAUUUAAUAUUUUAAAAAAGGUAUCACGUAUUAUCAUAAUCAUUAUUCAAAUAUAUGGUUUAUUUUAAAAUUGUGUCCAAUAUAUUUUUUUAAUCAGAUUUUAACAUUAUACUUGUGUCGUGUAGAUUCACAAGUAGGAGGACUAGUCAACUUCGAAAACAGCAAAUUAAAAAAUGGUGAGAACAGGCGGCUAGGGAUGCUUUUGAAAUACCCCAUUCAUUUUAUUUAAUUGGAAAAUAAUUAAUUUAAUUUCUUUUGUGUACAAAAAAUCAUCAAGAAUUAAACUAAAUUGAUAAAAUUAAAAACAUCAUUAUUAAGGAUUUUAAGUAACUAAACAUAAUUAGUCAUAAGCGGGCAAGCAAAAUGUUUUCAAAUUUUGAAAGAAGAAAUGAAGCUAGGAAGAACAGUCACAUGAAAUUGCAGCUUUUAUGACACUACUUGUUUUUAUCUUCCAAGUUUAUUUGGACCCGCAUGAUGGGAAACACAACUCCCAUUAAUCCUCACUUCAAUCCUUGCUUCUUCCCUUUUAAACCUUCCAUCUCUUUUAAAUGUCACCUUUAUCUAUAAUCAUAAUACAAAGUUAUUUUAUUGAAUCAUAGCUAUGUAUUUUUAUUAUAUGAUAUGUUUAGACAUAUAGUAAGCAAGUGAUAUGGGUUCGGCUCUACUCCGGCCAGUUUUUGCUGGACAAAUGUGACAUGCUUUUGAGAUGCUCUCCAAGAACCAUAAAGCCACAAAGAAAGAAGGUAAGAUGAGUGAGAGAGAUCCCAUGUCUUAUUUUCAUAUUUUUAUACCUUUUAUUACCUUCACCAAUCGUAUAUACUUGUUAUUUUUAAAUAGAAAUUCUUAUUGAUGACAUUGUUGAUUGAGUUGGUGCCACAAGUUAACUCGACACUAACUUAAUAUUGAUGACAACAGCAUGAUAAAUAAUUGUAGAGCAUUUGGUAUUCUUAAUAUGAUGUAUUAACGUGUUUAGAUUUCAUUUAAUCACAAAUUAAUCUAUGAAAAAUGUAAUUCUUUUAAUUUUAAUAUCAUACAUAUUUCAUGUGUUAUUAUUAAUUAAUCUAAAAAUAUACGUUUCACUAUUAUAUGUUAUUUUUAACUAAACUCCGUGUUUUAAAUAUAUAAUUUCUACAUGCAUAUGCACAAUUGAAUUUUUUAGAAUAAAACUUUCCAACAAUUUCAAGCAAGAAAUAAAUAAUAUGCUCUCCAAGGCUUAUAUAGCACUUUAAUGCUGCCAUCAAGGGUAAAUUUAUUAUUACACUAAUUAAAAUUAUAUAUAAUUAAUAAAAUUUGACAGAAGUUGAAUUUUCCUAAAUUUCUUUUAGAGGAUCGUAAGUUGUUGACUUUAGUUUUCUUCCAAUCUCACAUAGAUCUAGUAGGAAUGCAUUCGGCAAACUUAAGUGGACAAAUGUACUGGACUGGUGUUCCAUUUUCAACGGGAGCUCAAGGGAUCCAAUCUACUCAUUGGAUCUCCAAAUUGGAGGGUAUUUUUCAUUUCUAUCCCUCACACUUUAUAUUUAAUUAUUAUUUAACGUGGAAUAAUUUUAAUAUUUUUUAUUAAUCAAUAUAAAUAUAAUUUCAAUAAUUUAUUUAUUUUUAAUGUAAACAUAACUAUUAUUCAAUAGUAACAUUAUUUUUAAUAUUUUAUUACUUAAUAUAAAUGUAUUUUUAAUAUUUUAUUAUUUUUAUUAUAUAUAGCACUUAUUUUAAUUUAAUGUCCUUAAUGGUAAUGUUUAAUUUUCACUUCACCACCACCGUUACAUUUGAAUCUAAACACAUAUCUCACUAAUUAUUUUAAUUUUAUCGCUACAAUAACUAAUCUCACCACAAUUAUUGUUUUCAAUCUCACUGGAGCCAAUCUCAUUGCUUAUCCAAAGUCUCUAGAAGUUUUGAAUUUUGGAAUUUAAAUCUUGAUGUAAAUGACAUUCAUUAAUUGGUUUUUAGUAAGUUAUAUGUAAAAAUAACAGUUGAACAAAAAAAUUUGAAAUAACAAGCUGACAUGGUAUUAUACAUAUGAUAAUAUGUUUGCGGCAUCGGAUUUAACAAUUAUCAUUUAAAGAGAACUAGAAUUUAAAAAUUUAAAAGUACAAGAACUGAAAGUGACCAAAUUAAAAUAUAAUGAUUAAAUUCAUAAAUUUCAUAAAAUAGAGGGGCGAAUAGCAUAAUUUAACCUUUUUUUUGCUUUCGGGAGACAAUGGAAGAGUACUGAUGGUUUUAUGUUUGGGUUUAAUUUUUCGGGUAUUGGAUUACUUAUUAUUUGGGUUUGGAUGAUGGAUUUAGUUCUUUUGGGUUUGAUUUCAGUAAUAUAUUUUUAUGCGAGUUUAGUUUGAAUAUUUUAAAAAUAUAUAUAAAUUUAAUAGGCAUUUAUAUAUUAGGGUUUUUUUUGUCUUUUUUUUAAUAUUAACCUCAUUAUAAAUUCUUAUCAUAUUUGUUCUUCUUAUAUAUGGUCUACUAUCCGUAAUCCCUCCUCAACUCAUUAUAAACUGAAUCGACUUAAUCAAAUGAAUGAUCAAUUUGGUCGACUUAAUUAAUAUGACCUAACUUUUACUCAUAUAUAUAUAUAUAAUGCAAUCUAUAGCAAUAAUAAUAAUGGAUAUAUUCAAGCAUAUCUAAUUGAAUGGGUUUUUUUUUUCUUUCUUCUAAGAUCAAAUAGAUUUGGUUCAAUUCAAGGAGAAUUUUUUCUUUUCUGGGGAAGGGAUAUUGAUGUCAACCUCGUAAAAAAUUUACAUGAAUAUAGACACCUAUUUCAGUAAAUAUCUUUCCGACCAUUUGGUUGCAACAGAAAACUAAUUUUAAAAAAUAAAGGGUAAACUACAAAAGUGGUCGUUUUUGUUUGCUUCGGAUUAUAUUUUAGUCACUUAUGUUUGAAAUGUUAUGUUUUAGUCACUUACGUUAUUGUUUUGUUACAAAGCGGUCACUCUACCGUUAAACUUCGUUACCUUCCUAACGGCAGUCCUACGUGGCAGUCUAAAUGAGUUUUGAAUGUCAACUUGGAUGUCCAGUUUCUAGGAUGAAAAUAUGUUUUUAAUUAAAUAAAUUUAAUUUGGGCUGCCACAUAGGAUCGUCGUUAGGGAGGUAACAGAACUUGACGGUACAGUGACCACUUCGUAACAAAACAAUAACAUAAGUGAUUAAAAUGUAACAUUUCAAACAUAAGUGACUAAAAUAUAAUCUAAGACAAACAAAAGUGACUAUUUUGUAGUUUACCCAAAAUAAAUAACUUGAAUUUUGAUGUAAUGUAUAAUAUAUUUUUUAAUUUAGUAUAAUUAUAUAAAUAAAAAUUUGAUUAUGAUUUAAUUAUAUAAUAAAAUAAAAUUAUUUUUUGUUUAAUUAUAUAUAUUUAAUAAAUUCAGUUAUUUUCAUAUUAUGAUUAAAUACAAAAAAAACUUAAAAUAAAAUCAUUUUAAUGAUUUAUGAGAAUUAAAUUAAAAUAUUAUUUUUGGUAAAAUUAAAGCUGUCUGUGGGCCAGCUGGGUCAAGCCAAGGCCCGGUCCUAAAAAAACUUUUCAUGCCCAGACACCUUCAGAUUGGUCUAAUCCGUGUGAAAAACCCAUUUUAUUGUUAAAAGUAAUAAAAUGUUAUAUAAUAUUUUCAAAUUUAAAUUUAAAUUUUUAAAAAAUAUUUUUUAUUAUUUAAAUUGAAUUUAGGUUAGAAAGUAUAAAUUUUUUAUUCAAAUUUAACCCAAAUUAAAUCCAACUGAACAGACUAUCUGACUUUUGAAUAAAUUUUGUGGUAAAUUUUUAUUUAUCUAUAUUAAUAUUUAAACAUUAGAUAAAAUAGGUCUUAAUUGAACCUCAUGUGAUGGCUUGAUAGUUAAAGGUGUUCAUUGUUCCAGGUGUGGCCUGGGUUUCAGUUGCGCUAGUCGUGUUUGUUGUUCAGGCUCUGCCCUGUUAUUGUAAUUCACCAAAAAAAAGUAGGUCUUAAUUAAGAAAUUAUAAAAAUGUCCCUUCAUGUAUAAAUAAAUUAUAAUAUCAUGAGGGUACUUUUAUCUUUUUAUAUUUUUAAUAAAAUUGGUAAAAAUUUUGCAUACGAUGAGAUUUAAACGUAUACCACCAAUAUCUAUAAUUUUUUUUACCAUUUCAACCAAAGUUUUAUUUUAAUAUAUUUAUACAUUUUGAUGUUGCUAUACAAUUUUGUUCACUUACAUUGUUUGGAUUUCAAUACUAAACUAAUAUUUAAAGUUCUUACUGAGUUGGUGUUACACCAUUUAACCAGAUCCCAAUUCAGAGUAGAAUUUACCAAAAGCCCCUUAUUUUUUUUUAAUAAAGGGAUAGAUAUUAUUUUGAGGUCAAUUUUAUCUUUUUAUAUAAAAUAAAAAAAUAUCUGCCCAAAACAUUAUAAUAUUUAAUAACACAACUUUUCCAUUUCAAUUAAAAUCAUAUUUAAUUUUAUAUCAACUUUCUAAAUUUUAAUAUAUAAAAUUUUCACCCACAUCGUGGUGGGUAUGCCAUAAUAUAGUAUUGAUAAUAUCGUUGAUUGAGUUGAUAUCACAAGUCAACCUAUACGAACUCAAGAAAAAUGGCAAUAUCAUGAUAAACAAUUUGAGUGCAUUUAGUAUUCUUAAUUUGAUAGGUUUAUAUAUUCAAAUUUCCUUUUACUCACAAGUUAAACUAAUUUUUUUUUAUUUUAAUUUCAUACAUAUUACAUAUUUGUUAUUGUUAGUUCCUUUUUUCGAACCUUAAUCUCAUUAUAGAUUAUUAUCAUAUUUGUUCUUUUUGAUACAAUGCCUAAAAUUACCCAUAGUUCAUCCCAACCCUUAAAUAGGAGGAUAAUGCACUGAAACACACUUGAAUUCACGUCCUCCUACAUCGACAACAAUACCAAUGCCAAUUAAAUUACUAUAAAAACACUCAAAUGCUAUAAAAAUUUUAGUAAUAAUUUAUGAGUAUAGUUAACAAUAUAUAUAUAGGCUGAUAUAUACAUCAUGGGACCCUUCUGUAACGACCGGACCUCAUCACGUUGUGCCACGUGAACUGCAUGAGUUUGUGGAAUGACUAUUGUGCGUGUGUACAUGUCGUGGCUUACCAGCUCACAAGGAUAUGUCUCCUACGUAUUUCGGUUUAUAUUUCAUACAUUUUAAAUCUAUAAGUUCAUACAAUGUACCUAAUAAUGUAUUUCUUAAUUCUAGAAAUAAAAUAAAAAAGAUCAUAUAUCUCAUUUUAAUAUUAACUUAUUUGAUAUUAUAGUUUUUAUUAACUUUUAAAGAAUACAUAAAUAAUCCGAUGCUAGAUUUUGUCACACAUGUUGUAGGUGAAAGAAAAACAUGAUAUUAAAAUUAUAUUUAUAAAAAUAUUAAUAAUUGAAUAAUGGGUGAAAUGAUAGUGUUUAUGAUUUAAUAUUUUUUAAAUUGGGUUCAAUACAUUUUUAGUUAUUUUAUUUAAAACUUUCCCGUAAAAUUAAUAAAUAUUUAGUUUUUUAUUGAAUGAAGGCUUGUAAAUAUUUUUUAAAUUAAAUUAGUAUGAAAUUACACCUAUUAUAAGUAUGAAUAUGAAAUAUAAAAGGAUGAUAAGACAAUAGCACCCAUCAUGACAUCAUAAUAUUGUCGUUAUUAUGUUGUGCCUCCAUGGUAACCACAAAACAAAGGAGAAUGUUGGAUAUGAGGUCCAUGAACCAAAAAGAAAGAAGAAAAAAGAACCAUAAAAUAUAAUAAUAAAAAAUGAAUUUUUAGAGUAAACAAACAUAAUUGGAUGAUGGGUUUGGGACACCCGAAAAUGUUGCAGUGAUUGUGGUUUAGAGUGCCCCAAGUUGGGUAAUGUAGGACAAAAGAAGGCAAAUCUAACCGCAAAAUAUCAAAAGGAACUUUACUACUUUUCGUGGAAAUGGCCAAAUAUAUAUAUAUACACAAACAAGUGAAAAGCAAGGGUGCACUCAUUUUUCGACAAAAAUACCCUUGCAUAUGUACCCAAAACAUGUCUUUGUCUUGUUUUUAUGGUAAUCACCGUCUUUAUCAAUAUAGGUGGAUACUACUAUUACAAAUACAAGUUAAGAACAAACAUAUGUUUUAUACAAAGUGAGACUCGAAUUUAAGAUCUUAAAAUUGUUGACGGGCUUAACCUUGCCAUGACCUAAUUUGUUUUUUCUUUUUUAAAUUGUUAUCAAUGAUAAUUAUAUUUUGUCUUGUCUUCUCUUUUACAUUUUAUUUCCUUUUUACUAAAUUUUUAUCCAAAUAUAUGUUAAUGUUUAAAUUUUAAUUUAUUUAUAAUAUUAAUUUUGAAAUGAAUUCAAUUUUUUUUCAUCGGUAACUAAUAAGUUUUACAUAAAAAUUAAUGAAUUUAUCUCAAGAUUAAUAUAUGAAUAAGUUAGAUGUAAAUUUAAAAUAUUAAUUUCAAGUGAAGCUAAAUAUAAUUUGUAUAAAUAUAUUUAAUUUUAUAGCAAUGUAAUUAAAAUAAGAAAAAUAAAAAUAUAAAAAUUAAUUUUUAUUUAAAAAUAGCUUAGUAAACAAAUGCUAAUGGGAUAAUCGGAUUACUCGCAAAGGACAACGAGGAGGGCAAUUGGAUGAUAUUAGGCAAGUAAAGGUGGGUAAUGGAGAGAGAUGAGUUAGGGGGUGGUUGAUAUGGAUGUUUUCCUACUUGAGGACAAGACAAAGGCACAUGGAGAAGGAGGCCCCCAUUUUCUCAUCUGCCCUUUUUUGUUCAAUUCACUUUUACCCUCUUCUGAGGAUUGAGAUGCUCUUCAAUAUGAGCAUUGUAGAGGACAAGAUGGUCCUUUCCGUUUUUGUCCUUCCUCUUGUCUAGUACAAAACUCUCACUCUCCUAUCAUUCCUUGUCCCCUCCUACCUCUAUUCACAACUCUACCCCACGGGUGGAUUAAGUGGUGACGGAAGAGGUCCGACCUUUUCUCUAAAGUUACUUUUUAGUUUUCAUUCUCAAAAAGGUUAAUAUGCAAUUUAUAUUUCGAACUUGUUUAAAAAUAUUUAAUUGAUACUUAAAUUUUUAAUUUGUUAUUUAAGUUGGUAUUUUUGUAUUAACAUAGUUAAUUUAUGCUGAUGUAGUAUUGGUAAUUAAUUCCAUACUGAUACGUGAUAGUCUCUCAAUAUGUCAUGGGCAUAAAUUAAAAAAAUUUAAAAAUAUAUAAGUUAAUAAAAAAUAUAACUUUUUUUUUCACAUCAAGAAUGAACAUAAAUAAAUGGUUGUCGAGUCCAGAUGUUUUUUAGUAAGUUUAUAUUUUUUUUUAUUUUUUAAAUAAAAUAUCAUGUUGUUUAUAUUAUUUUUAUCAAUUGAAAAUUAAAAUAUAUAUAAAUUUUAAAUUAUAAAAAAAUUUACAUUAAGAAUGAAUUUAGACAACUAGUUAACUGGAUUUAAAUUCAUCGGGGCAACCAUUUUUCCAUAUUCAUGGUAGACAUGCUUUUUAGUAUAUAUAUUUAUAUUUUUUUAUUAAUUUAUAUAUUAUAUAUUAUAAAUUUAUAUAUAUAUUUCAAAAUAUUAUACACUUUUGUAUAUUUUUAAUGGUACAUAAUUUUAUAUUUUCAUAAAUUUAUAAUUUUAUAUUGUAUGUUUAAAAAAUAAUAAUAACCUAAAAAUUAAUAUUUUAUAAAAUAUAUAUACCAACUUAUUAAAAAAUACAUCUAGAAUGAAUCUGGAUAGAUUAUUGUCUAGAUUCAAAUGUGUUUGGACAAUCAUUUGUCCAAGUUCAUUUUUUAUGUGAAAAAAAUAGUUUUUUUAUUAAUUUAUGUAAUUUUAAAGAUUUUUUUUAAUUUCUUAAUUUAUGCCCACCAUAUAGCAUAUGGAGGCUACCACAUGUCACCACUAGAUCAACUAUCAGUGCCACAAGCAAGGUUAAAAUGCUAAGAAGUGUCCAAUAGGGUANNNNNNNNNNNNNNNNNNNNNNNNNNNNNNNNNNNNNNNNNNNNNNNNNNNNNNNNNNNNNNNNNNNNNNNNNNNNNNNNNNNNNNNNNNNNNNNNNNNNNNNNNNNNNNNNNNNNNNNNNNNNNNNNNNNNNNNNNNNNNNNNNNNNNNNNNNNNNNNNNNNNNNNNNNNNNNNNNNNNNNNNNNNNNNNNNNNNNNNNNNNNNNNNNNNNNNNNNNNNNNNNNNNNNNNNNNNNNNNNNNNNNNNNNNNNNNNNNNNNNNNNNNNNNNNNNNNNNNNNNNNNNNNNNNNNNNNNNNNNNNNNNNNNNNNNNNNNNNNNNNNNNNNNNNNNNNNNNNNNNNNNNNNNNNNNNNNNNNNNNNNNNNNNNNNNNNNNNNNNNNNNNNNNNNNNNNNNNNNNNNNNNNNNNNNNNNNNNNNNNNNNNNNNNNNNNNNNNNNNNNNNNNNNNNNNNNNNNNNNNNNNNNNNNNNNNNNNNNNNNNNNNNNNNNNNNNNNNNNNNNNNNNNNNNNNNNNNNNNNNNNNNNNNNNNNNNNNNNNNNNNNNNNNNNNNNNNNNNNNNNNNNNNNNNNNNNNNNNNNNNNNNNNNNNNNNNNNNNNNNNNNNNNNNNNNNNNNNNNNNNNNNNNNNNNNNNNNNNNNNNNNNNNNNNNNNNNNNNNNNNNNNNNNNNNNNNNNNNNNNNNNNNNNNNNNNNNNNNNNNNNNNNNNNNNNNNNNNNNNNNNNNNNNNNNNNNNNNNNNNNNNNNNNNNNNNNNNNNNNNNNNNNNNNNNNNNNNNNNNNNNNNNNNNNNNNNNNNNNNNNNNNNNNNNNNNNNNNNNNNNNNNNNNNNNNNNNNNNNNNNNNNNNNNNNNNNNNNNNNNNNNNNNNNNNNNNNNNNNNNNNNNNNNNNNNNNNNNNNNNNNNNNNNNNNNNNNNNNNNNNNNNNNNNNNNNNNNNNNNNNNNNNNNNNNNNNNNNNNNNNNNNNNNNNNNNNNNNNNNNNNNNNNNNNNNNNNNNNNNNNNNNNNNNNNNNNNNNNNNNNNNNNNNNNNNNNNNNNNNNNNNNNNNNNNNNNNNNNNNNNNNNNNNNNNNNNNNNNNNNNNNNNNNNNNNNNNNNNNNNNNNNNNNNNNNNNNNNNNNNNNNNNNNNNNNNNNNNNNNNNNNNNNNNNNNNNNNNNNNNNNNNNNNNNNNNNNNNNNNNNNNNNNNNNNNNNNNNNNNNNNNNNNNNNNNNNNNNNNNNNNNNNNNNNNNNNNNNNNNNNNNNNNNNNNNNNNNNNNNNNNNNNNNNNNNNNNNNNNNNNNNNNNNNNNNNNNNNNNNNNNNNNNNNNNNNNNNNNNNNNNNNNNNNNNNNNNNNNNNNNNNNNNNNNNNNNNNNNNNNNNNNNNNNNNNNNNNNNNNNNNNNNNNNNNNNNNNNNNNNNNNNNNNNNNNNNNNNNNNNNNNNNNNNNNNNNNNNNNNNNNNNNNNNNNNNNNNNNNNNNNNNNNNNNNNNNNNNUUCAUCUUAUUGGCUAACGUCCAAUCUAUCAUUGCACAAAAAAUAAGAACAACCCCAAUAAAUAACUUCAACUUGUUAUAAUCACUCACCUAAAUCUUUCACUUAAACAAAUAAUACCUAUAAAAUGAGUAAAAAAAAAAACCGCUAUAAAAUUUGUAAGCAAAUAGGCAUGUCAGCCUAAAAAAAGAUGCAUCUUCAUAGCAAACUAGUUGCCUAUAGGCUCAAAAUGGUAGUCUAGUCUAUCAGUCCAAGUAGAGAUAAGGUCAUGAUUAGUAGCAUAAUAAUCCUGGAUAAAUAAAUUCUCAAAACUUAUCUUUAGACAAAGUUUGAAAAACCAAAUAAUAUAAAGCAUGUCGAUUUCAGUCUUCUUUAACCCAUCACUUUCGAUAGUCAUGGUUUGAAACAAAAUACCAUAUGUCUUUGGAGUCCAUUUGCUUACGGAGAAAAUAUAUGUAAAUGCUGAAGUAAAAAAUGACAACAUUUAAUACUGUUUAGAUAAUUUUAAAAGUUUGUUUGAACAGGUGUUUAAAAUAAAUGUCGAAAUAUCAAUUUUGGAUAAUCUUGAUCUUAACAAUAUCAAAAUUAAUUUGACUAAUUUUAUACCUAAGUUUUUAGAUUUUGAUUCAAUAGUGACGGUUUUGUCCAAUCUUGAUUAUAUGAGAUAUUGAAGUUAAUAAACUAAAUAAUUUUUAAUUUAAUUGGUUCAACUGAUUAUCGUUGAUGUUUUGAAUAAUUAUUUAAAUAUAUAAUAAAUUAUGUUUGAUCCAUCAUGAAGUUUUUUAAUUUGAUUCAUUUUCUUUUUUUAGAAAUUGUAAUAUGGUUACAUGUCAAUAAGGAAAUAGGUUAAGGUCAAAAAAAGAAGCAGCAGCCUAUAAAGAGUGUCCGUUGACGAAACAAGAAGAUUGUCUGCUACUUGCUCCACUAACCCAUUAGAUAAGGAGAAGAAAAGGUAGUAUAUUAAGGCCAGUUCUUCAUUGCUUAAAAAAAAUACUUCUGACUUCAAAAGUACUUUUGAAAGAAAAGCUAUGAAGAACAAGUUGCUUUUGGCUGAAAUUUUUAGUUUUUCCUCUUCUAAAAUCACUUUUGGUGCUUAAUUACUUUUUCACCCCUCUAAUAAUAUAGUAUUUUUCUUUUUUUUCUUGAUGCUUAAUUACAAUUGUGUUAAAAUCAUUAAUUAAAAAUAAAAAAAUAUUUUUAAAAUACUAAUUACAAAUACUCAAUGGUUAUAUUUAAAUAUUUAAAAUAUAGUUUAUAUAUUCUAAAUAAAUUUUAUAAAUAAUUAAUAUUUAUUACUUAAAAAUAUUUACAAUUUAUAUUUUAGAUAUUAAAAUAUUAACAACAAGUUAUAAUAAUUUUUUUAUAUUAUUACUAAAAUAUAAUAAUAUUAACUAAUUUAAAUAUUAUUUAAAUGUAUAUUUGUUACUUGAUAAUAACAUUUCUAAAAUAGAUAUUUUAUUUCUCAAAAGUACUUUUUGACAGCAAUACUAAACACUCAAAUUUUAAACUAAACUUUUCAAAAGUACUUUUCUACCGCACUUUUCAAAAACAAUAAAGAACUGGCCUAAGUUGACCUAUCGAGAAUCCCCGUAAAAGGUAUAUAGCCUCUAUUGCCCUACCCUUUAUUCUUUCAACAGUAGAACGCUCUCAACUUUUGCUACCCUACGGGUCUCUUGCUCCACGUAGUCCAAUCAUCUCCACUUAGAAAUUAACCAACAUUACUUAAUUAAGCCUUAAAAGUACAUGUCCUUUUGUUAAUGUUAUUCGUAAAAUCGUAAAUCUUAGUGAUGGUAAACACACAACAUUACAGCAGUUCUUGUCCCCGAGCCACCGUUUUGUCUCUUAGACGCAACUGCCUCCACUUGACUAAAUUGGGAAAAAUCUGCUAUAUUUGUGUUAUAAACACAUAGAGAUAAAAUAAGUUGUAUGUAGUUUUAUGUUUAUUUCAUUCUUUAGUCACGUGGUUGGAGGUUUGAUUAUUGUUUAUGAGAAUGUAAUAUAUUUUAUGAUCAACCGUUUACCUUUACGAAGAGCACUCGCGAUGAGAAGAUUAAUUAUUGUUACUGAUAGUGGAUACCUUGAUUACGACAAAGCAAAACAAGCAGUGUACAAUACAGAGAUUAAAUUAUUUCAAUUAUUUUGAAAGAGACUAAUUUACUCAAUUUCAAAAUUAAUAAAAAUUAAAAUGAUUUUUUAUGAAAUGUUAUAUGUGAUUUAAAAAAAGUAAAAAAAUGUGUGUUAAGUGUUUGUAGGAAAAAAGUUUUUGCAUAUAUAUAUAUUUAUUUAAUUUUAAGUAAAUAUUUAUGACCGCUGAAUUUUAAUUUUAAUAUCUUUAGUUUAAAAUUUUGAUGUCAAAUGAAUUGAAAUUAAGAUUAUUGUGAAAAUCCGAAUUCCCUUAAUUGUGAAGGAUUUUAAUUAGAUUUCACUUUAUUUUGAGAUUUUUUUAUUAAAUUAUAAAGAUAAUUUAUCUUAUCAAUAAGUGUUGGGUGUAGUGAUAAAUUAUAUUGUACUAUUAAAGAGAGAUAUAAUUUUAAAUUUGAGGUUGGCUUGGAUUGAGUCGAGACUCGAUUCUCAAAAAAUUUCAAGACCAAGUCCAUUUUUGGGUCAAUUUAGUCCACCCAAAAAGCCAAUUUCACUAUUCAAGAAAUAAUAAAUAUUAAAAAUUAUAUUUUUAAUUGAUACUUUUAUAUACUUUUAUAAUUAAACUUAAAUUGAAUUCAUCUGGCCCGAGGUGCGAAAUUCCUUGUUUAGGCUCGACCCUAGUCGGGUUAGGCUUAUUGGGCCGGACGACCUAUUCAACUAUUGAAUAGGUCUAGUUCAAACAUUGUAGACAAUAUUAUUGGGAGAAGUAAUUAUAAACCCUGAACAUAUUUUGUAAAUCAUAUAUGAAAAAUAAAAAUAAAAAAGGAAAAGAAAAGAAGAGAAGAUAAUUACCCUGCUAAUCUUAGUUACAAAAUGUAAUAGUUUCUAAACUACUUCUAACUUUCAAUUCUUAAAGUAAAGGAAGUCGAUAAUAUAAUUCACUUAAGGGUAUUCGAAUUACAAUAAUGUCAAUCGAAGUAAGAUUUAAUCACCUAAUAUACUUGUUAUAAUGGCUUUUUGAUUCUCCAACUUUACAAAAAAAAUCAUUUUAGCUCUUAAACUUGUAUUUUUUUUGUCAAAUCAGCCUAAAAUAAAUGAAAAAUUAACAUUUUUUUUAACUUUGUUGAUGUGACAUACACAUGGAUUGCCACAUAGAUGACAUGUCAACAUUUAAUUAAUUUUUUAAAAUAUUAAUAUAUAUUUUUAUAAUUUUCAUAUUUUUAAAUAAUUUAAUGAAUUUUAAUUUUUAAAAAUUUUAAAAAUUUUAAAAAAUUAAUUAAAUUUUAUCGUGUCAUCCAUGUGUAUGCCACAUCAGCAAAGUUAAAAAACAUUAAUUUUUUCAAACAUUGGGGGGAUAAUUUGACAAAAAAGGCAAAUUUAAAGAUUAAAAAAGACGAAAAAUUAAAUAAAGGGGUAAAAGGAUUAUUUCUAUAAAAUAUACCUAAUUUCUUGUAGUUAACAUUCCAUAAAUACCAGAAUCUUUAUAAUUUAGUAAUUUUGAUUACAAUUGCAGGCGAAUUUGAUAAUAUUUUCUUAAGGAUAAUAUAAUAGGAGCUGAGUUUUAUAUUAAUAAUUUUGAAUUAGAUGAUGUGUCUCGCACUCUCUCUAUAUAUACACUACAAGCCAUCAUAUGCGUUCGCUCAUUUUCUCUGUUUCCUCACUGCAAAGUAAACCUUUUUAACUCAUUAAGAGCCACCCAACCCAUAUUUAUUUCAGGGUUUCUCCCUUAUAUAGUAAGUACGGGUUCUUCCUUUCUUUGAUAUCGACAAUGCCUUCGAGGCUCUCAGACGCCUUUAGAGCCCACCCCCAACAACAACUCAAACACCCCGACUUUACCUCACUCCACGAACUGCCCGACUCUUACGCAUGGAAUCAACGCGAUGACCCUUCCCCAGAAACCUUCGCCACUGAAUCAGUGCCACUUGUCGAUCUUAACGACCCUAAUGCUCUUCAGGUUAUUGGCCAUGCAUGCAAAACUUGGGGAAUUUUCCAAGUCACCAACCAUGGAAUCUCCACAAGUCUCCUUGAUAUGGUGGAGCACACUUGCCGCUCCCUUUUCUCUUUACCAGUUCACCAAAAACUUAAAGCUGCAAGGUCUCCUGAUGGCGUCUCCGGCUAUGGAUUUGCCAGGAUUUCCUCCUUUUUUUCUAAGCUUAUGUGGUCUGAGGGGUUCACUAUUGUUGGGCCACCAGACGAGCAUUUUUGCCAACUUUGGCCCCAAGAUUUCAGCUACCACUGGUGAGCACCCAUUGCACACAUGCGAAUGCACGUGCAAAUUCUGAUUAUUAUUGAUUCUCUUUGUUCUGAUAUUUUUCUCUUUUGUGGCAACCCCCCCCUUCCCAUUUGCUUUUCUUAAUGCAAUUAGCAAAGAUUACAAUGAAAGCUAUGGACCCACGAAGUAGAUUAGGAGUAGUAAUGGAGUUAAAAAAAAAAACAAAAACCAACCCACUUGUCAAGUGUUUGCUUGUUGUAUCACCAGCAUAAUAGCAGCUUAACUGUUGCAUACAGUAUUCUGAUUCUUUCGUAAUUUGAUUGUUUCAUUUAUUUGUUUCUUCCUCAGUGAUGUGAUUAAAGAAUACAAGGAAGAAAUGAAAAAGUUAGCCGGGAGAUUGAUGUGGCUCAUGCUGGGUUCCCUAGGCAUAAUUGCCAAAGAGGAUAUCAAAUGGGCCGGCCCAAAAGCUGACUUCAAAGAGGCCUCAGCAGCUUUACAGUUGAAUUACUACCCGGCUUGUCCGGACCCGGACCGAGCCAUGGGUCUCGCCCCGCACACCGACUCCACUCUCCUCACCAUCCUCUACCAAAACAGCACUAGUGGGUUGCAGGUCUUUAAAGAGGGAGCCGGAUGGGUCGCGGUACCUCCGGUACCGGGGGGGCUUGUGAUAAACGUUGGUGACCUUAUGCAUAUACUGUCCAACGGGUCAUACCAGAGUGUUCUUCACCGGGCCAUGGUGAACCGUAGCCAUCACCGGCUAUCCUCGGCUUAUUUAUAUGGGCCACCGUCUACUGUGGAAAUAUCACCCCAUCCAAAAUUAGUAGGGCCAACUCACCCACCCCUCUAUCGACCGGUUACUUGGAACGAGUACCUUCACACCAAAGCUAAACAUUUCAACAAGGCACUCUCAUCGGUUCGGGUUUGUGUUCCUCUAAAUGGAUUGGGUGAUGUAAAUGAACAAAAUAAUAGCGUUACAGUUGGCUAAGAGAAGGAAGAGAGAGAGUGAUUUUGUUUUGUUUCACUUAUAUUGUUCCUUCCCAUGUCUCCAUUGGUUUGGACGUUUUAUGGGGCCCUAUCCGACUAUUUUGGAGCAUAGUGUUUGGGACAUAGGAAAUUUUAUUUCUCUAAUUUCUUAAUAUUAACCCCAAGCUAGAAUUGUUAAUAUAAAUUAAUGACUCAUCUUUUGUUGCCAUCUGUUUCAAGGAAAGCCAGAAAUGAACCCCUCCCAACACCCUUCAGCAGGCCAAAAAAUUUGAUUUUCAUAUUUCAUACCUAAUUUUUAAUUUUUAUCGGUUAAUUAUAAUGCAGAAUUUGAAUGAUAUCUGUAUUAUGGGUUUUGUCUUUGUGUUGACAUAGAUUGACUAAAGAUUCCUUAUUUGAAUAUCAUGUAAGAAGACAUUCCCCAUAUCUUUUAGCCCCGGAUAGGAUAUAUAGAGGAAGAUCCCAUCCAAAGAAUAAAACAGUAAAGUCAGUUAAAUCAUUGAACAUAAAGUUCAAUAAGAUAAGGAAGAAGUGCGGCUAAGAUUCCAAGAAGAAACUAUGUUAUCAACGAUUUUUGUUAUGCUUGAAAGUUUGAGCAUUAUUGAAGAGACACAAGUGAUUUGGAUUCAAGAAAAAUGUUGUGAAAACUGAAGAUGAUAUUGCCUCUGCAAUCACGUGCAAGUCCACAUUGGGUAGUCAGUUUUGAGAACCCUACCUUGUCCAAGAUGUGGCAGUUUUUACCGUUUCUUCAUUUGUUGCCAUGCUCCAUAAAGAAACCAAACAAGCACGCAUUCCUUUUCCCUCUCGGCUGUCGACCAACUUCUUUUACCUCAAUUAGCAGCAAGAAGAAAGGAAAUUCCCAGCAUGAGUUAAAUAAAUUCCAGAUAACUUAUCUUUGCAUUGCUCAGUUCAUAAUUGAAGAGAAUACGGUUGAAUGGGCGGUCCCAUCUCAAACAUGAUUGAAGGAACACCUCCACUAACAUUAGAAAUAUGGUUUCAGUUUUCACAGAGUACAUUUCUUUGUAUGUUUCAUUUUCAAGUGUCUUUGAAUACUUUUUUUUUGUUAUUUAAAUAAUUGUUGCUUCCUUUUAUUAUUCCAAUAAUUAUCGUUUUCCUAUUUUGCAUAAAUUUAAUCAAUUAUCAAUAAAUAAAGUAUACUUUUAGUCAUGGUUGCCAACCGCUCAACAGUCCCCUCCCACACCACUGCUACUCCAACAAUUCAAAUUCUGAAUUAUACCUUUUAAGCUGCAAGGUAGUUCUAAAUGCUGUUAGAUGGACAUGAUUUUAAGAUCAUCUUGGUGGCACCAAACUCCCUCUACAAAAACAUAUUUGGUUUUGCCAAGAUUAACUCAUUCAACAAGCCAUGAUGUUUAUGUUGAUGGCUCAACUGCCUUCACGAUUGUUUCCACUCAUACUUCACAAAAAGCAUGGGCUCUUUUGUGUACGGUGAUGAUUUUAUUUAUUUAGUAAAUAACCAAAAUAAAAACAAAAAGGGGUUUGAAAUUGAAAUUAAAAUGAUAUUGCAAAGUAAAAUACAAGAAAACGUCUAAUCAAAAAUAAAAUCUCAGUUUUGAUUCAUGAGUUUGAUAAUCAAUGCAAAGAUAAUUUUCGUGUGCUUUAAUAAAUUAAUUAUAUAGUUGUUGACAUCGCGUCUAGUAACUAAUGUUGGAAAAUAUGGACAUCAUAUAUAUAAUAAGCGUAUUCACAUGUUGUUAUUUACUAUCAUGAUAGGUUAGCACAAAUUAAAAGUGAUCUAAUUUAGUUAAGGUUUAUUGGGUUAAAUCUUUUAGAUUUAUGUUAAUUAGGGUUUUAAUUUUUAAUUUAAUUAUUUAUAUUGAAAAAAUGUGCGAUUAGAUCCCUGUUCACGAUUAUAUAUUAAUCUACGCUUGUACUGAUGUUUGGUAAAUUCUGUUGAUUGUAAAUUUUUUUUUUGGCAUAACUUUGCUUAUUUCAUCAGAAUUCUUUAGUGCUUUAAUACACUGUUUAUUGAUUUGUGCAAUUAAGGUUCAGUUAUUAAUGUUUCAGCAGUAUUACUUUGAUAUAUAUAUUUGAUGCGAUAUGCGUGCUAUUUUUUUUCUUUAGUCGAUUAUUAUAUAUUUUAAAGAAAUCACAGACAUAUAUUCAAUUAUUAUUUGUUGAUUCUCUAGAUUCGAUUAUGCUUCAAUCUUCUUUCAUUGUUAAUGGAUAAUGAGGAAUUAAGUGAACUUAUUAUUCUAGAAUUUCAAAAACUAAGAAUCUGCAUUCUUGAUUUCAUGAAAGUUGGUUUGAUUGUUAUUCUUCAAUUACAAUAAUAUGUGUUCAACUCUUAGAAUCAAUAUUUUAAUUUUGAUUAUCUAUGGUAAUAUCUUUGAAAUUUAUGUUUCGAGUAUUAGAAAUAAUAGAUUUGGGUUUUCUUAUAUUGUUAUAUGGUGGCUAUGAAUUUUCAUAAGUAGUUGCGCAUAUGAAGGCUUUUAUACAAUUUGAGAUUCUUUUAUAUUUGGUGGUUAUAGAAAUUUUUUUUAAGUAUUUGUGCGUAUAAAGAAGUUUUAUGAUAAUGUCUUUAGUCAUUAAUAUAAAUUUGAGUUUACAUGAAAUAUGUAAGGCAAGCCAAUAUUAUUUUUCUAUUAUUAUAAUUGUGUGUGUAUAUAUAUUAUAUAUCAAUGAUUUUGAGGAUUAAUACAUUAUAGUUUGUGUGAAUAUGUGUUUAUACCCAUUAUUCAAUAAGAUAUCUUUUAUAGUUUAAUUGGUGAAAUUAAGUUUUGAUGGAUAUCGUUGAAGUUGUUAUUAUUAUUAUUAUUUAUUAUUUUGCUAUGGUUAUAUAUUCAAUUUUACGGGUGCUUUGGUGCAAAUUCAUGUCAACUAUAUAUAUAUUUAAAUAAUUUGGUUUUAAGUUUGGUUCUAUAAUCUUAGUUUUGGCAUCUUAUGGUUCUAAAUAUUUGGUUAAAAUAUGAUGAUAUGGUUUAUUGCAUGAAUUGUGGGGUAUGCCAACUAUUAUGAUUUUGUUUUUGAGAUUUAUUGGCUUGAAAAUAUUUUUCAAGUAUUCAUGUGAAUAUCUGUUUAAUCAUAAAUACAACUUUGGAUUUACAUGGUAUAUUUAAGGUAAAUUUUUCUAUUUGAUUAUGGAUACAUGUAUAUGCAUGAAUUACUUUGAUGUUUUUGUCCAUGGCCAAAAUUAUGAAUACAUGUGCUUGUUAAUUAUUUGGCUUUGAACCACUACAUUAUUUCUGUUUGGUUUUGAUAUAUGUGAUUUUGGAAAAAAAAAAACCAGUCAAAGAUUAAAGUUUUCGGUUUUUUAUUGUAUUAUUAGGACAACCUUAUUUUGGGUUAUUUUAGAGUUUAUAAAGCAAUAAAAAAAUAGUUUUGGCAUUUGACUAUUGGGUAAAUUUUAAAUUUGAAUAUUGGUAUGUUUAUAUAUAUUUUAAAAUAACUUAAUUGAAGCAAUAAGUCACCAAAGUGAUUUUUUGUAUAAAUUAUUUUGUUUUAAAAUAUAAAAGUUUGUGUGCAUGUAACUUAAGUUGUGUUGAUAUUGAUCGGCCCAAAUGAAGGUUAAUAAUAUUACAUGUGCAACUGUGGUGAUAAACAUGUAACGAUUAUUCGAUUUUACAUGUGAGUAAUAAAUUGGCCCAAAGGAAGAUUUAUUGUUCGACAUGUUCUUAUUGUCAAUGUUUGAUUACUACACCAAGAUAUCACUUACAAGUUAAUAUUUUGUCCAAAGAUGAAAUAUUAAUGGAGUGUUCGACCUCUUAAGAUGAGGUUUACCUUUAUUCAAAUUAUUUUGGUUUAAAUUUGAAGUCUUAUGUGAAGUUGUUUAUGGUUUAUGAUUUAUUCAACUAUUAUUAUAUUUGCCAACAUCACUGUAUGUUGUUUUGGGAUAACUAUAUAUACAUAUAUAUACUAGUAUCUUUUAAUUUGAUUGAAAGAUGAAAUUAAAAGAAAUAUUUUGAAACAAAUAAAUUCAAAUUUUGGCUUUGGGUUUUAAUUAAGGAUGUCUAAUAUUUUAAAUAUAUUAGUUGAAACAAAAUGCCGCAAAAGUGACCUCUUUUGCCUAGAUUAGUUUAUUUAAAAUAUCAAGAUGAUUAUAUGUUUUUGUGAUUCAUGCGUUUAUUAAUUGGCCCAAAGGUAAGUUAAUAUUUGAUAGAAUUUCAACGACAUCUGUGGUGAGAAAUGUGUGACAAUUAUAAGCUACUUUAUGUGAGCAAUAUGUUAGUCCAAAGAUUAAUUCAAUGUUUGACAUAAUUUAUUGUCAAUGUUUGAUUGCUACAACAAGAGUACCACUUAUUGUUAAUAUUAUUAUCCAAAGACUUGAUAUUAAUAUUGUGUUUGGUAUCUUGAGAUGGGAUUAGCCAUUAUCUUGAAUUUAUUGUUUACUUAUGAAUAUUGAUGUGAGCUUAUUUUUAUUUAUUUUUUGUUCUAUAUUCAGCUAAUUCAUCUUCUACUGCCACAAUAUCUGCUAAUAUAAAUUCUAUACCCAUGCUUAAUGGGACUAAUUUCAAUGAAUGGAAAAGGCACUCACUUAUAGUGCUUGGCUGUAUGAACAUAGACCUUAUACUAAGGGAAAAACAACUUGCACCUCUCACUGCGGAAAACACCCCUUACGUUAAAAGAGAUUUUGAGAGGUGGAUCAUUCAAAUUGCAUGAGUCUAAUGAUCAUGAAGCACAACUUUUAGAAGCCUUUAGGGGUACAGAAUUUGAAAAGAUUACUCAGGCCAAGGUUUCCUUGACAAAUCUGAGAAAUGUUUUGCUAAAAACGAUAAGGUUGAAAUGACAUCACUUUUGACUUCUUUGAUGUCUAUAAAGUAUAAGGGUCAAGGAAAUUCUAAACGAUCUAAGGGCUAUGAGUUUUAUGAUCCCACAAUUAGGAAUAUUUUUUAUUGCAACAUUCUUUUAGGAUGUUGAGUUUGGAGGGAGAAAUAAUGUUAGAGACAUUACUUUUAAGGAGGAAUCGAAUUCUAACUCAGUUCCUACUACCACUUUUGAUGAUGUUUAGGUUAUCAUACCUAUCAUUGGUUAAGAAGUGAAUCUAGAACCUCAAUAAGACAAUGUUGAACAACUUCCUAUUCAAGAUGAGGUAAUUGUUCCAGAAGAACAAACUCAACAAUCUCAAGAUUGAGUGUCAUUAAAAAGGUCCACUAGAGAAAGGGUUAUAGUGGCUUUAGUGGAAUAUUUUGACCUUAAGCUGCAUCAGAUGAAUAUUAAGUUAAUAGUUUCUCAAUAGUAACAUUGAUCAUGCAUUUAUAUGGUGCAACUAGUAAACUUUGUGUCUAAUGAUGCAAAGUUAAUGAUUUGCAAAUUAAAGAACUUCAUCUAUGGGUUUAAGCAUACUUCUCGUCAAUAGUAUUACAAUUUUACCAAAUGAUUAUCUCAUUCGGUUUAAAGAUGAAUUUUGUCGAUAAUUGUAUAUACCAUAAGUUUAGUGGGAGUAAGGUUCUAUAUUUGGUUUUAUAUGUUAAUGAGAUACUGCUUGUCAAUAAUAAGUAUAGUCUCAAUUAAUACCCUAAGAAUGAUUUUGAUAUUACAAAAAUGCAUAAAAUUUUUUACAUUUUAGCAGUGGGAAGUCUAAUGUAUGUUUGUAUUUUUAAAUGCUUUUAUGUUAUAGACACAUUUUCAGUUAUUUUAGUUUAAAGAUAUUAAGUUUAUUUUCUGCAGAAAUAAAGUUUAUUUGGUUUAUUCAUACUCUGAUUUUGGUAAGGUUUGAUCUCACUAAGGAGGACCAGUUGGAGAUAGACAUGUUUAGAUCAUAUUGCAUGUAAUUUCCAUGCUACACAUCCAUACUUGAUCUAUGUCAUUUGGUUGUGUUAAUAUACGUGAUCAUGGAUGGAUUUAGUUACGAUAUAUGUAACGAAAGUCACCUUAGUUCUAUGUUAACAUAAUUAAUGGAUGUGAUUGCUCGGAAUACCUUUUGGAUAUGAUAGUAAAAUUUUAAGCUCAAAAGGUUAUAUAAUGACAUGUAAUUAUAGAGUAAUUAGUAUAUAUAUGUGGUCCAAGUGGGAGAUUGUUGGAAAAUAUGGACAUCACAUAUAUAAUAAGGGUAAUUACAUGUUAUUAUUUACUAUCAUGAUAGUUUAGCCCAAAUUAAAAGUGAUCUAAUUUAGCUAAGGUUUAUUGGGCUUUAAUUAUUAAAUAAAGUAUGGAUCAAAUAUGUGUAGAUACUCUAGUAAUUGAGUUCUAAUUAAUUUCUAAUUAAUGAUGGGCUAAUAAGAAAUUAGGGCUAAUAUGCCAAAGUUAUAUAUAUUAGGGUUAUGAUCCCCAAAUUACAGACAAGAUAUCUUUUCUAAUAUCCCAUCCAUAGGAAAGAGCAAAUAUUAUUUGAAUUUCUUGUGUGCUAAUUUAGAAGAUCAAAACCCCAAGAUCCAGAAAAUUUCAAAGAAUCCAUGGAUUCAUGUACGCUUCCGCAUCUAGUUCUGUUAUUUAUUUAUUUUUGAUGAUUUGACAUGAUAGAUUCUGAUUUACAAUUUUAAUUUUAUAUUAGAUAUUAUUUAAAAUUUAAAAUUCUGACAACCAAUCUCUUCAUACCUUGUCGAUAACUAAAAGGAAGCUCAUUGAAAUUAUUUUCAUUAUCAAUAAACAACCAUAUAACUUCGCGCCUAGAGUCUUAUUCAUAGCAUUAAGAGUGAGAAAAGACCUAAUUCUAACCAAUAAACACACAUAAGCAUAGUUCAUUUAAAUUAGAUCACAUGCUCACAGAACAUGGACUGCAUACAUAACUUAUACCUAAUCAUGCUAUUUGUCACAAGUAUUAAAAUCAAUUAAAUAAUUAUAGAUUUAACUAUUCUAAUUGAUAAGAAAAAUAUUCUAAGUAAUUGAAUAUGGUACCAAUACUCAGCAAACCUGAAUAUUUGUAAAUAAAAUAAAAGAAUAAAGAAUAAAAAAAUGAGGAGCAAUUAGAUCUCACAAACUUUUAGAAUCAAACUUCGAACUCUUUUUUAUUAGAAAAAUAGUUUAUAAAUUCAUGGAAAAAAUAAAACACAAUAAUAAAAUACUACUAAAGGUGACUAUCUCUAGGCAUUAACCUAAUAAUAUCUAUUUAUAUGAAAAAAAUCACAUAAUGGAGAAAAUACAAAACUUCCCCUAAUUAAAUAAAGUAGAAUUUUGGCUGAUUCUCGUGUCAAACAUCCAGGUCAUUUUUAGACUAUUUCUUGACAUUUUUUUGUACUUGAGUCGUGAAAUAACUUUAGCUAGAUCAUUCAAUUCCCUUGAAAAUGAUAUAUUAUGAGUCCAAAAUGGAUUUAUAUAGCUUAAGUUAUGAAUAAAAUACUGAAGCAAAUUGUGUUAAAAGUCUAGUCUACAAAAACUUGCCAAAAUAAACUUAAAGCACAUUUUUCUCCAAUUACCUCUCUAAAUGCAUACUAAAUAAAAUAUGAUUCUAAAGAAUAUAAUUAAGAACUUAACUAAAGUAAUUCAAGAGGAUAAGCAUAAAAAAUAAAUUGGAAAUUAUGCACUUAUCAUUUUGCAUACUAUAUAUUCAAGCAAAAGUCGCACAUAAAUCUACAACCUUUGUGACCAACUUACUAGAGUCACAAUGCAAGCUAAAAGUUUUGUAGGGAAUAUUAAACAAAUCAAGGCCAUCACAUAUGAGUUAGUUCUCCAAUUACUCUUAAAGAACUUACAAUCAAGAUCUUAGGGGUUUUGGUCCAAAAUAUCGAGAAGUUUCUGCCCCUAUAUGGAUUUACCCAACACCAAUUGAAUGCGAAAAGCACUUUUACAAACUUGUUGAUCAUGAACUCUUUUUAUAAUAUGAGGAGAAACAAAUAUCUCCUCAUAUCAUAAUUGCAGUUGUACAAUGCAACAUCAAUCCUUCUUAGUUUCCUCGCAAUACUCGUCCCAACAAUUACCUUUAAUCUUACUGGUCACAAACUUUUUGUCCUCAACAACAAGCUCCCUAGUGCAUGCAAGUUUCCAAUUGUGCUCAUGUAACACCUUACACCCAGUCCAGAAGACAAUCGAAUGUAGAACUCUACAUUCUAUAACACCUUUUACCCGUUAUGAUGUUUGGUACAAAUAGGAGGUAGUACCAGAAUGCAUGCAUAACAAUUUAAAAAAAAAAAAUCUUAAACAAUAAUAUAAAAUCAUUUUGAAAGUUUUAAAACAUAUUAAAAUCAUUUAGAAACUUUACGUGGGUGGGUGAUUGGAGGUGUCCGGGAUUAAAAUGAGCCACAGAGAGUCCAAAAUAGCAAAAGCAGUGUAGUAGGACUAGAUUAGGCACAAGGUAUCAAUACCUAUGGCAAGGUAUUAGUACCUUAACCUGGACACUGUAGCUUUUUGGUUACCAUCAAGCAAUGUUCAAUUGCAUACUAUAUAUGUUCUGAAACUCGAGUUUUGUAGGAAAAUUUUGGUCUCUAACAUUUUAGGUUCCGAUACUAAUAAGUAGGGGCCGAAGUAAAAAAAAAUUUUGGGUGUCAAAAUUAAAUUGUAUAUUUUUACGAUAGUAAAAAUAAAAAUUUACCAUUUUAAUAGCCUAUAGCUUUAUAAAUUUUUAAAUGAUUAAAUAAAUUUUUUAUCAAUUUUGAGGGGGACAAAGUGUAAUUUUACCAUCACUAAUUUAAAAUCUUAUAAAUUAUAAAAGAGCCUAAAUAAAAAAUUUUCCAUUUUAGGGCGGGUCCGGCCCUGCCAGCCUCCCUCUAGCUAUAAGCACAAAACCAAAAUGCAAGUUAAAAAUACUCCAAAACCAUUCCAAAAUACCUUUCUAUCCUGCAAAUACAAAAUACAACUCAAAAGCACUUGAAACAGUUAAAAUCCAUUCUCAAUCAUUUCAAACAUAUUCAUCAACUUACCCAAUUUAACGAAGAUUAUUUGAAGUAAAAGCAUGCAUGUACCUAUAAUUAUUCAUAAAGAAAUAAGGCAAUAAUCCAUUAAGUAGAGUCCUUCCAUUUGCCAACUCCGAACUUAAUAGAAUUAAUUCCAUCAAUCAUGAACUUCAAUCUUUGGACUCUACACUACAACCACAAUCACUUGGAUUCUAAGAGUUUCUUCACGGUGAAUCAACAUAAGUGAGAAUUGAUUUUUUAUUUGCAAACGAUUCAACUAAAAAAGCAUCAUCUAUACCAUAAAAUUUCUAGCCCUACCAAUCCCGACUGGACCAGGAUUAUGGAUAGCGGAGCUGUCAACUUUAAACUUAAUCAUUCUUUUGGGGCGAACAGUCCAUGAUGUAAGAACCUUGGUAGACCUUUUGGUUUGCACCCAAUGCACAAGUCUCAACCUCCUUAACAUUGAACACCCAAUCAUUUCUACAUAACCAAAUUGACCAAAAAUAUUUCUAAAACCCAUAAUCCAAACAACACAAUCAAAAUUCAUGAAACUAGCUGAAUGGCUAUUAAGCAAGUUGAAGAACUUUGACCAUUAUCACCAUUCCUAAUAAAAAGAUAUUCAUGCUUUAUUGACUAUUAAUUAAAAAAAUUGAUUCCACAAUCUUUUUUGAACAAAGAUAUCCAUACUUUGAGGCAUAUGUAGUAGCCUACUUCAGGUUUACUUUCUGUUUGACAUAGAAGAAUUUUCUUUUUUAAUCAUUUCAAUAUUAGGGAAGGAUAUGCUAUUAAGUUUAAGGAUUUUAACUAUUGCUCUAAUCCUUUGAAGUAUUUAAAGCCAUAUUUCAAAUAAAUUUAAAUUCUUAGAAGCAUUCAAGAAGAAAGAGUUGUUAGUCAAAUGUGUAAUGCCCCGAAACUCUUGAUUUUAUUUUGUGCAAGCAUGUUAAAUAAUUUGACUUGGUGUGUUGGUUAAGUGCCUUGAAAGUCUGAUUAGUUCUUGAGUUUGAUUCCCUUGUUUUGAAUUUUCCUAUUUAUGUUGGCUUUUUGUUAAGCUUGAGCCUUAGGGCUUAUUUUAUAUUUUUCAUUGGGUUGUGACCAGAAUGAGGUUACUGGUUCAGUGGUUAAGCUUUCGUAUACCCUUUAGUCUUGUGUUCGAAUCUUGUGUUACGCGUGAGUGUAAUGUUUUUGUCAGUUGCACUUGUUAGUUAUUGAGUUUAGCUUAAAUUCUAAAAAAAAAUCUGGUGGGUGGGAGUUGGAUCAAAUUAAAUCUCUUAUGUAUUUUAUUUUUGACCAAAUCCCUUUGCUGCACGUUUUCUUUUGUUUCCCUAUCCUGCCAUUUUCUUCUUCCAUUCUCUUGGUUCUUUUUCUUUUUCCUUCUUUUCCUCUUUCAUUGUUCUUGAAUACUAUCAUUUAUUUUGUGCAUUUUGUUGUUGGGAUCAUAUUCCAUUUGUAGUAUAAGUUAUUUUGGUCACUUUUGUUGCGAGUCCAUUAAUAGUUUAGUUUUAUUUCGUUUCUUGUGUUAAUAUAUUUUCUUGAGUUACCCCACACGCCCGUGUGCCAGGUUGUGUGCUAGGCCAUGUAACUCACUGACUUGAACCCUAAGAAAUUCUUAGAUGACAUAAGGCCGUAUGCCUCACACGACUCACACGGCUGUGUCACCAGGCCGUGUAAACCCAAAAUUUACCUAAAAUCAAGCCAUUUCAAAACCAUUUCCUACCUAACCAUUCUUACCAUUUAGGCACAUAUUCAAGGGGUUCAAUUAUCAUCCAAACAUACAUAAAUAUGACAUUUCAAGCAACCUAAUUCACCUAACCAAUAUGCCAUUCAAAGGAACCACAAUUGUACUAAAACAUCAACUAUCAAAACUUGCCAUUUUUCCAAACAUAAAUACCUAAUUCAACACCUACCAAAUCAUACCAUAUUUACCACUUUCAAGCCAUUACAAACAUACCAAAACACCACACAUUUCAAUUACCCUAAAGUAGUCAACAAAAAAUUACUUAACAAGUUUUAUAAGUUCAUUAACUAAACAUAAACUUCAAAGACAUAAGCAUACUAAAUCAAUCAUUUUAUACAUCCAUAAACCAUAAACAUAAAAUACCUAUACAUGCCAUUAUUAACCUUGGCCAAAAUGCUCAAAAACUAUCAAAAUGAUUGUUGGAUAGUGUGAUAGGUCUCCGAUGAGGUUCCAACCAAAUCAAGCUUCCGAUGAUCUAUAAAAUAAAGGAAAACAACUACGUAAGCAACGAAUGCUUAGUAAGCUCAUAUAAACUUAAACAUAACUUACCACCUCAAUACACAAUUCAUAGAAUAAGCAUAAACCAUUUCCAAUGCCAUGAACUUAGAAUAAGACUAUUGAAGCAUCAUCAAUCUCACAUACUAGUAGGUUUAUCAACAUUACAUAUAAGCUCAUUUAUGCCAUAAAUAGAGUUCACAAGAUACAUUACAUAUGCAUCAACCUUUUCAUAGAUCAUGAAUAUUUCCAUAAUAAAGACAAUGUCAACAUCCUUUUAUUGUUUAAAUUUGUCACAAUGAUCAAUCUGGUAUGCCAAAUUUGAUUCAACAUCAUUCUUAUUAUUCAUUUUCACAUUGUCUCCUUUCCGUUUGAUAGAGUUCAACUAAAUGUUUAGGUGUAGGACAUGUAUGCAACUAAUGAAUUUCCAUACCAUAGUGAUAAUAUAAGUUAUCUCCACUCCUUAAAGAGUUCUUGAGAAUUCUUGUUCUUUUCUUACUUUCUUCAUUUUUCCACUUCUGGUGGUGAGAAAAUUUAUUACAACAAUCCCCUUUGACUAUUAUUACUGUCCAACUUACUACAUCCAUGUCCAAGAUUAUGUCUUUUGAAAUUAUUACAUAUUGUUACAUUCUCUUCAAGGAAUGGUUAGGUUUCGUGAUUAAAAACUUUUGUGCAAUAAUAAGUAAUCAUGAUAUUAACUCUUGAAGAAAAAUUCAUGAUAUUGCUACUGUAGGAGCACAUUUGAAGCAUGAAAAGUUGAAUAAGUUUUCUCUUGCAAGUUCUCAUCAGUAAUAUUUUUUUCCACAUGAUUUUAAUUUAGAAUUUGUUCUGAAUACUGUAGAGUUAUACUCAUUAUUUUAAAAACUUGUAACUUUAGGAGAUCUUUCAAGUGCAUCUAAUCAUAAAACUAUCAUAUUCUUUUGGCCAUAUCUUUCUUUAUCUAAUCAUAACCUAUAAUUAAAUCACAUAAUUUAUAAUAAUAUCGCAAAUAUAUAUAAAUUCUUAGUGCUUCAUCCACAAGCACCUGGUUUAAAUUACAAAAAUAUAUAAUUUCUUAAUGCUUCAUCGACAAGCACCUACUUCAAACUAUUUCAAAUGAUUGAAAUCUCUAUAAUUCAAUAAUUUCACAAAAUUUGGCUGAAAGUAGGAAACCAAUUUAGAGACAAAAUAAUGUCUCACAUGACAUAUAUAUAAAUAACGUUAAGAUAAUAUAUAUCUUAAAAAUAAAAAAAUAAACCAAUAAGUCAAAGAGGAUUAUGAUUGUUUUAUUCAUUAAUAGAGCACACAAAAAAUCACUUAACAAUUUUGAUAUAUAAGUUAAUCAUAAUUCAACUAUGAAAGAAAUUAAAUAACUCAUGAUAAAAGAUUGAGUCUAAUCAAAGAGGACUCAUCCUAAAAAAAUAAGUUAUCAAAAAGUGAUAUAUAACAUAUUGAUAACAAACAUAUCUAAUCAACAAUUAUGUCUUUUACAUAAAAAAAAUGAACCUAAAGAGGCAAAAAUCAAAUACCAUCAUAACGUGAAAUUUAUGUUAAAUAAAAAUUAGUAGUAGUCAUACCUUAAUUGAAAAAGAAAAUAAGGUCAAAAUAUAAAAGUUUCUUACUAAUUUUAUACUUUACUCAUGCUUGUACAAUGAUAAAUCGAAGAUUGGGAAUAAGAACCAUGAUCUAUUCUGAAAUCGAAUCUUUUAACAUCUUGGAGAUGAAGUUGUAAGGGUGAAAGAUUAAGGUCAAAGAGGAAUUGAAUUUGUGGGACGACUUCAAAAGAUUUUGAAGUGAUAAAGAAAAUAGAGAAUCAUCGUGCUGAUAACAUGUUAUAAAAUAAAAAGAUAGAGAGUAAAGAACAAAGAACAAAGAAAAUGAUAGAGCAAAAGAGAGAUGUAUUUUAUUGAUCAAUGAGAAUAAUCUACAAUGCUUCUCCAAAAUCUAUAUUUAUAGACAUAAGAAGUAUAACUAAAAUAGAACUCUACUUCUAAUGACUAUUAGAAUUUAAAGUACAUCAAAACUUAUCUUGAUCUUAAUGGAUAGCCACUUAAUAAUAAAAUAUUCAUAACAUUAUGAUUAAAAUAUGUAUAUAAAAUUGAUUUGUAUACUUUAAAUAUUUCUCUUUUUAUAGAAAUAAGAUGAAUAAAUUAAAACAAUGAUGAAAAUGCUUAUACCAUAUAUAGUUUAAUGGGAGCUUUAAGGGCAAGUUAUAUAUAAUUGCAAUGACGUUAACUUCACUAAAAACUUGUAGAGGUUCGUGCAGAUAACAUAUUAUAAAACUAAAAGAAGAAUACAAAGAUUAAGAGAGAAAGAAAGAUAAAGAAAUGAAAUGAUGAUUUGACUUUCAUUUAGGAUGCAAUAAGCUUGUGCAUGCACUUUAUUUAUAGGGCUUUAAAUACCAAAAGUUACAAAGCAUUAAUGACCAACAUUAAGGUACCUUAUAAAUGAUUUAGGAGUUACAAGAUAAUGAAUUUAGGGGUUAUGAACGUUCCUUCUUUAGGGGUUACAAUAGGCUAAAUUUGAGGGAGUUAUGAUCUCCAUUUAUCAAUGGAUUUACAAUACAUUUUUUUAUUUGUUUUUCUUUUAAAAUAUAAUUAAUUUUGAAAAAAAAUAUUUUUAAAGGAUUUUUUUUUCAGAUUCUGUCAUAGGAUAGAGAAUGCAUGUGAGAUUACCAUAAAAUCAGCACCUAACCUUUAAAGCAAGAUAUGAUUGAUUAUUGAAGAAAUAAAAUAACUUGCAACCAUCACAAGAUGCCCAUAGGGUUUCACUAAAAAAAAAAAUAGACCUCAGUUUUCGAGCACCGCUAAAGCUGGUCAAUGCUAGAUAGCUGCACCGAUGCAGAAACACACUGAUAUAGAUAUCCUAAAACUUAUUAUCUUUGAUUGUUACAUGACUAUCCUAGUGUUGGACACCACAAUAAGCUUUAAGACCAGAUUGAUAUCGACCCUCGUUGGAAAAGUAGAAGCCCAAGAAUUGAGCGUAAUCAAAGGGGUUGUAGAGCAAGGGGUGUGCUUCAUCCACUAGCUCUUCUGGUGCCUUUAUCAUGUAACCUGCUUUUGGGACUGAAAACAAUCCAAGCGAAUACCUUGGCUUGUCUCCACUCAUCAUCACUCGAUGAUAAGUAGCCUUCAAUCGCCCAUUUAACCAUGCCUGCACCAUUAACAAACCAACCCAACUAAUUCAUUUAAUUCAUCAAUUAUGACAAAAAGAAAAAUGGAAUGAUAAUUACAUGGAGAGAUUCCCCAAUGAUGACAAUGAAAGAGUCUUUGGAGGGUUUGACACCGAUCCAUUCUCCGCUGCUGCUCUGCACCUCCAAUCCGUUAACCUCAUUUUGGUACAAGAUGGUCACUACGUCCUGAUCUGUGUGAGCAGUUAGUCCAACCUGCGUUCCACUGGUUUGUGGCCCUUCAUAUUUCAUUACCUUGAGAAGGUAGCCUGUGGAGUCCAUGUGCUCAUCCUCAUAUUUCUCUACUUGGAAACUCUCUAAGAUCAUUCUUCUUAUCAUUUGAUCUAACUCCGUUAAUUGCUUUGUGAAGGAUUGUAUAGUUUUGCUGAUCAAUACAGACAAACAUAUAUAUACCAAAAUUCAUAAGGAGAUUGAGGAGAAACUACUGGGAAAUUAUUUUAAGUGCAAUGACUUUAUGAACCUGAAACUUGGGUUUCCUCGAGGCCAAAAUGUACGAGUCUGGGCUUCAACUUUUUCGAUAACAUCUGCAUCAUCAAAGCCGAUGCUCUCAAACAAUGGUAUUUUAGGGUGUUGGCCAAUAUACCCAUGAUAAGGUAUUUCGGAAACAUUGCGACUUUUGAUUUGUAAGGGAAGAUCAAAUAACUCUUCCAUGGCUCCAAAUACUGCUUCCCUAAUCUCGAGAGGGAUCUUGUCGAACAAAGCCUCAAAGCAACCGUAGUGUUGAAGGGAUUGUUGGACUUGGCCUUUCGCCAAAUCCCACUCAUGGGUGCCCGGUUUUAGCUCCGGCUUAGUGAAAUCAAUGACAGGAAGCUUCAAAGGAGAUUGGGAGUCCAUUGGUGAAUUAAUUUUGUGUUGUGAAUGGUGAGAUGUAGCAGAAUUUAUACACAGCUCCAGCGUUGAGCUAUGCCUUUAUCAUUUCCGGCCUAUGAAUGAUGAACAGUUUGUCAUUUUACAUCAAGAAUUCCUUUGAUGUCUCCGUAAUCAUUUCCAUAAUUUUAAUAAUAUUUAUUUUAUAAUAUACGCAAUCAAUAUAUUCACAAGGCCCGCAGGAGUUGACGUAAAUAUAGGGAAGGGUGGAUGAGGUGUGAACAGUUUUUGAUGUAGCUGCGCUGACCCAACUUUUAUACACCGCUGCUGCGUUGUGUUUAUCCUUCUCCGCAUUAUAAGUAUAUUUAUAUAAGGUUUUAAAUUUAUUUUUGAUGUGGAUCAACUAUUUAAAUAACACAUGGCAUCCCGUAUUUAAUGACAUAUGACAUCUUUUUAUUUAAUACCAAAAUAUUAAAAAAUACACAAUACAAUAAGAUAAACCCUAUAUUAAUAGUACUUUCCUCAAAAAACAAAAUAGGAUUCCCAUAUUUAAUUAACCUAUUUUCAUAUUUUAAAUAGAUAAACCAUAAAUUUUAAAAUAUAAAAAAUCAGAUAAAUAAAAAAUUCAUGUUUUCCCCGUACUCUAAGCUAUUUUUUUAACUAUGAUUUUCAUAAUUAAGAUAUUUUCAAUUUAUACCAUAGUCGCAUUUGAUACUGAAAUUUUUUAACUAUUUGUUUUAAGUAUAAAGAAUUCAAUUGUUCAAUAAAUCUUAACAUAUACAAUAUUUUAGAUUAAUAUAAUAGAGAUAUCGGAUCGACUUGAAACUUUACAUGCAUAACAAGUAUAAUUAUAUAAAUAAAUUUAAUAGUUGGAUUAUUAAAAAAUUGACUGUAUAAAAAUACACAAAAAGAUGCAAAACAACUUUAGUUUUACAUCAGUGUAAGUGGAUCUCUCCCCUUAUAACACACAUAUAUAUAUUACAAUGCCUGAGACCAAAGCUAAUGUGGACAACUUAUUUUAACGACACAUUCACAACUUUUAUGUUCAAUUAUUAUAUUUUUCAUAUAAAUUUUUAAAUAAAUAAAAUUUGAAAGGUUACAUAAAUUUUUCAAAAUUUAUGUAAAAAAACAAAAAAAAAUAUAAUUUUUUUAAAAAAUAUGAGAAUAAAAUAAACCUAAAAACUUUUUAAAAACUCAUUUCUCUUUUGUAAUUUUAUUUUCAAAUUUAUAUAUUUUAAUUUUUUUAGAAAACUUAAGUAACUUUUACAAUUUAUUAAUUAUUUUUUAAUGGGUUAGAAUUUUUUUAAUUUAAAAAGAUAUUUAAAGUUUGUAUAUAUUAUCUCUUGAAUAAUCUAAAAUAUAAUGAUGAUUAUUAUAUAAAAAAUAAUUUAUAAAUUAAAAAAAAUUAACUCUGACCCAUAAGUGUUGGAUACAAUGGUAAGACACAUUGUACUCCCAAGGGGAGACACUAAUUCGAACAUUGGAGAUGACAUUGUUGAAGAGCCAGCCACGAACCUCGAACAUGGACCGUAAAACGAACAUGAAAAAUACCAAAAUAAAUAAUAUUACAAAGUAAAUUUAUAAAUUAAAAAAAAUUAUCACUUUAAUUUAUAAAAAGUAACAUCUUUGGGAGGCACCCAAGUAACAACCGACAUGAAUUCAAUCUUAGCACACCAAGGAUACAAAAAAUAUUCCAAAAUCUGAUACCAAAUGAUAUAAUGGAUAGGUCAAUUUCAAGUUGCUGAAAAUGUUUAGAAUUUGAAUCUGAAAAUUAAACAAACAAAUGAUUAGAAAGAAUAGAAAUAAAAUUGAUUUGAAAAGAAGGAGAUUGAAAUAAGUGGAGAUAGAUUUAGCCAAUUUUUUAUGGAUUUUUGAAGGAGAAAAGUCGAAUAUUGUUCUCAAAAAAAUAAUAAUAAAGAGAGAUGGAAAAAUGAUAAAAAUGAUGAUGGCAAGAUAGGGAAGAAAGAUAUCUAAUGGAACCCUCGAAAAACAAGCUUCAAUAAACUCCACUAAUGACUUUAACCGACCCUCCAACCUAGAUAACUUGGCAAACCGAGGGGUGAAUAACUGCCACCAACAAUCUCAAAAGAAGAUUGAGUUGAAAACUCUUCUAAAACAAAUAAGAAAAGAUUUCUUGCAACUGAGAAGAACUCAAAGAGUAAUUUUAUUCAAAUCAAAGUUGGGUGCUCUUUAUGGUGGGUGGCUACCCUUUUUAUAUGAAAAGCGAGCUAAAAAAAGAAAAACAAAUCCCUAAAAACUAACCUAAAAAAUGAGAUGGCUAAGAAAUAAAAACAAAUCCCUAAAAUGUAGCCUAAUAUGUGGGCAACUAAGAAAGGUAAGUCUUACUUCCUAAGAAACUUAGAAGAAAGAAAAUACUAAGCGAAUUUGGUCAACUUUAUGAUAGUUAUACAUGGACCAAAUUUUACAAGAAAACAAAUUAACUUGGUCUUAAAAAUAAACUUCUUAAUUGAGUCAUUGACAAAUUAGGCCAAUAAAAAUAAAAUAAUUAAGUCUUCAAGUGAUCUAAACGAGCUUUAAAUGGGCUUGCUCUUCAAUUGAAGUGCAUUUGGGCUACUCUCUUCACAACUUAGGCUCUUGCAAUUAACAUCUUCCAUUUAGUACACCUUGUAACACCCCAAACUCGGCCAUAAACUUGGCCUAGACGUUAUGGCAAAAUCUGGAAAUGUUAUUGUAGGCGAAAACCUGGAAAUACGUUAACUUUUGUUAUGCGAAAAUUCGGUUUAUUUGAAAACACAUAUUUAUUUCCUGUUUUGUGAAACAUUGUUUGUUUACAUUUUCUAAAAAGUAUAAGUUUGUAGCAGAAAUAUUUAAUGCGUUAGAUUUUGAAAUAAACACCAUUUUUUGUUUUGGAAAUCUAUUGCUUCUGUAACAGCCCAAAAUAGGGCCUAGUCGGAACAGUAGUUUCAAGACCAAAAAAAAAAAACUCGAAGUAGAAAUAUUUAAUUUAUAAUUAUUUUAGAGUCUAUGAUAUGUUUGGGUGAUGGUGUGCAAAUUUUGUUAAGAAAUUUUAUCGAUUAAGCGCCCAAUUUUAUUAUUGGGAUCCAAUUGUAUUAAUUGCAAAAUAUGAGUUCUAGAACAUAAGUACUUGUUUUAAAUGGGGGUUUAAAUUAGAGGUCUUUAAAUGACAAAUAGACAAUCAUAUUUCGUUAUGGACAAAACUAGUCAUGGAAGGGUAAAAAUUGAAGGNNNNNNNNNNNNNNNNNNNNNNNNNNNNNNNNNNNNNNNNNNNNNNNNNNNNNNNNNNNNNNNNNNNNNNNNNNNNNNNNNNNNNNNNNNNNNNNNNNNNUUUUGUCAUUUGGGUGUUUUAAGGCAUAAAAGACAAAAUUGAAACCCAAAAAUCUGCUCAUUCUCUUCUCCAUGCUGCCGAAACUUUCAGCAAGCCAUGUCUAGGGUUUCAAGCUUUUUCAAAGUUCAAUUGUAAGUUCAUUUGAGCCCCGUUUUUAAUGUUCUUCAUAUUUUUGAGAUCCUAGAAGCUUAACCUUUCUAUUUUUACUAUUUAUUUGCAUGAAAAAUGAAGUUUAAAAAUUGACCCAUGCUAGAUAUUUGUGCAUUUUGAUGUUUAAUGAUAGAAUAAGGGUGCACGAGGUUAGGAGAAUGAUUUUUGCUAAGUGAUUUUCGUUGAACAUGGUUAAAACGGGUUAAUUAGUAAAAGUUGUAAAUGCUCCUAAAAGUUGUAAAUAAUAAGAAUUUGAGGUUGCUUAAAGAGAAAAAGGUUUGGCUGACCUUGAAUGUUAUGGAAAUUGAAUAAAAAUCAUAUUACGAGCCUAGGGGCAAAAUUGUAAUUAUGAGAAAGUUUAGGGGCAAAAUUGUAAAUUUUCCGUAGUAUGAUUUUUGUAUUAAAAUGAGUAAUGUGAGUGAUAAUUAAGUGAAAUGUGACAUUAUAGAUCAAAGAAAUCGAGAUUUGGACCAAAUACAGGGAAAUGUCAAUCAAAAUAAUCGACUCGCGUUGAGGUAAGUUCGUACGCGUUAAUCAUUGUUACAAUUAUGCUUUUAAUGCUUUGUUAUUUCAUAAAUUGUAUACACGAGAAUACAGUCACGUUUAACGAUAAAUCGGCUAUGUUUAGCACUUAAUAUGAAAUUCGAGAUAGCUUCAGCUAUUUAUGGCACUUAGUGUGCGAUUUGGAAUAGCUUCGGCUAUUUAUGACACUUAGUGUGCGAGACUGAGAUAGCUUCGGCUAUGUAAGGCACUUAGUGUGCUAGAUUAUGAUAGCUUCAGCUAUACGAUGGCAAUUAGUGUAUGAAACAUUGAGUAUUCGAUAAUGUUACGAGAAUGUGUAAGUUCGUAUAGUAAGUUUAUAAGCAAUUAGAUGUUAAAUUCUGAAUGAAUGUUAAUUAUAUAUAUGCUGAAAUGAAAUAUGCAAAUAUAUAUAUAUAGCUAAAUGCGUUUUAGUUCGGAAAGUAAAAAUAGAUGUGAAUGCGAUUUAUCGAUGUUUAGCACUAAGUGUGCGGGUAUGAAAUAGCUAUGACUAUAUGAACGGCACUAAGUGUGCGAAAUUAAAAUAAUGAUGUUGGAUAAUGGGCACUAAGUGUGCGAAAUUAAAAUGAUGAUGUUGUAUAACGGGCACUAAGUGUGCGAUACCGAGAGCAACUUGGUUAGAUGAGAAAGAGCACUAAUUGUGCAACUUCAUUAUGGCAUCGGCUCGAGAUGAGUUUUGAGUGCCAGUGUAAGACCACGUCUGGGACAUGGCAUCGGCACCGAUAUGUGAUCCCAUGUGAGACCAUAUCUGGGAUAUGGCAUUGGUGUCCUACCAGGUGUACGAGAUAUCCCAAACAUCCCUAAUAUUACAAGUAGUUCAACGAGAAAUUCAAGGAGUAUGCUCAAGAUAAGUAAGAGUAGGAUAUGUGAGUAUUAUGACUAGGCACAGGUAUGUAUAUGAGAUUCAUAAAUAAUGCGCUCAGAUUAUGAUGCAUUAUUGAUAAGGAUGCAAACAAGUAAGAUGUGUCUAUGAUCACUUGAUUGUUGUGUGCCAAGAUAUAAUAUGCUUUGGUGUAAGUGUAUAUAAAUGAAAGUGGACACAAAGAAUUAAUCAAUGAGUGAAAUUGACCUUAAAACAGUUGUGGGCAGCAGCAUUAGUAUAACUUUGAAAAAUCACAAAAAAUGGUGGAAAUUGAAUUAAAGUCUGGGUGAGAUAUGAAAUUAAAUAUUAAUGAGUCUAUUUUUCCAUAAAAGAAACAGAGUAAGCAAAAGAAGUGUGAAUUAUGAGGUAUUUGAAUUUUGGUGAGACAGGGUCAGAAUGAGUUUCGGAAUCACCUGUUCCAACUUUGAAAAAUCAGUAAAAAUUGUACAAAAGUAAAUAUGGAGUAUAAUUUAUAUGUUUGAAAUCCUUAUUAUGUCUAUUUUCAAGUGAAAUAAACGAGAACAUCAUAUGAAUUUUGUACGGGGAGAAAAUUGAUUCGUUGUGAAGAACUGUCAGAAUUGUUGGACAGUGAAACAGGGGUAAAUUUAAUGAAUAAACUGUAUUAAUUGGUUAGACCAAAAAUUCUUAAAUUUCUAUGGUAAGAAAUUAUGUGAGUCUAGUUUCAGGGAAAAUUUACGGUUCUUCAUUUGGAGUUCUGUAGCUUGAGAAAUAAAUAAUUUAGUAACAGUGACUCAAGUAGACAGAUUAAUGUGAAUAUUAGUAAUAAAGUGUAAGAAUGUGAUAUAAUGAUUAUAUCAUCAUAAGAAAUUAUUGCGAGGAUUUGUCCACACAAGUUUAAUAAUUUCUUAUUAUUUUCAUAUGAACUUACUAAGCAUUUAUGCUUACUUCCCUUCUCUUUUCCUUUGCCUUAUAGUAUCGCCAAGUUAGCUCGGGAAUCGGUGGACGUCGGAGAUUUGCUCACACUAUCAAUUAGAACACUUGGUAUAUCUAGAUACAUAAAUUUUUGGGUUACGGCAUGUAUAGUAGGUUUGGUCGUUUUGUCAUAUAUGUCAUAUUUCUUAUGGCCUAAAAUGUUGACCCUUAUUUAAUAAAUGUUCUUUUUGAUUAAGGCUAUUUGGAGAUGGCCAAUACGCCUAUGAUAUGGUUAUUCAUGUAUGUGGUAAUUGUAUAAUUGAAUGUUGUCAUGAAUGACGAUGUGUAUGGGAAAGCGAAUGUAAAAUUGGAUAUUCGGAUGUCCAAUUAUAGUGUGAUACAUGUUGACGAAAUUUUAUGACACGGUUUUAGAUGUUCAAGAAAUUUUAAGUCCGGUAACGCCUCGUACCCUGUUCCGGUAUUGGAUACGGGUAAGGGGUGUUACAGCUUCGUAGGAAAACCGAGUGUUAUCAAUAAAAACGGUUAAACAAUUUUAGACAAAAAAAAAGUCCAAACCCAAAACAGUCCUAGGUGUCCAAAGAGUCCAAAAUAUAUGAAACAUCUUAUUUUCAAAUUUAAGAAAAAUCAAAUAUACCAAAUUAUUAUAACCGUGUAACAACCUGAAUUUAGGGCUAGUCGGAAUAGUGGUUUCGGGAUCACAAAUUUGACGAGAAAAAAAAUUAUUUUCAUUAUAUUUUUAUAGUCUACGAUUUCACAAAAUGAUUUCAUGAAAAUUUCGUUUGAAAAUUUUGACGUUUGGGCACUCAAUUUAGUCAAAAGGACUAAAUUAUAAAAAGUGCAAAAGUUGAGUUCUAUAUGUUAGAGGCAUCCAAUUGUUAUGAAAUUUUAAAUUGGAGGUCUUUAUAUGGUAAUUAGGUUGGUGGACAAAAAUGGGCAUGGUUAGGCAUGUUUCCAAAGUUUUUCAUUAAGGGCAUUUUGGUCAUUUAGUUAUUAAAAUGAAUUAAAAACAAAAUUAAAAGCCAAUUUUUGUCCAUCUUCUCCAUAAGGCUGAAUUUAGCAAGGGGGAAGCCAUGGUUAGGGUUUUCAAGCUUCCAAGCUCAAUAGUAAGUCUAUCAUUGCCCCGUUUUUAAUGAUUUUUACGUUUUUGAGAUUAUUGUAAUAUGAUUUACCUAUUUCUACCAUUUAUUUGAGCUAGAGUUGAUGUUUAAAAAUUUACCCAUGGAGAAUAUGCAUGUUUUUUGAUGUUCUAUGGAAGAAUAUGAAUGUUUGGAGUAUGAUAAACGAUUUGUACUAAGUAAUUUUUGAUAAAAAUGUCUAAAAGUAUUGAUUUGUAAAAGUUAUAAAAUGUGUCAUAAUUGUGUGAAUAAGUGAAAAUUGUGAAUGGAAACUGUCAUAAAAUGGUUCGGCUAAAAUGCAAGGAAAUUGAAUAAAAAUUAUUUUACGAGCCUAGGGGCAAAAUCAUAAUUUUGUGAAACUUUAGGGGCAAAAAUGUAAAUUUGUCAAAGUAUGAUUUUUAGACUGGAAGGAAUAGUGUGAAUGUUAUAUAAGUUAAAUGUAUUGUUAUAAAUCAACAAAGACGAGAAAUUGAAAUUGAUCGAUAAAAAGAAAAGUGAGAAAAAGUGAAAAAUUCUCGAAUGAACCUUUGGAAUAAAAAGAGAUACGAAUGAAGUAGUGAAUUGCAUGAGUAUGUAUUGGGUCUCAGAAGCUCUAUUUGUUACAAAUAUAGUAUUUUGAAGUUAUAACGUGAAGAUUUAUAAAAGCAUGUUAAAAAUUUGAAGAGUUUAAAUUUGAAUGAAAUUUUAUAACUCGGUUUAACAUGUUUAUAAGUGUAUGUGUUCUGGUAAUGCCUCGUACCCUAUUCCGGUGUCGAAUACGGGUAAAGGGUGUUACAAACCGAGCUCCCAGCAUACCGAUCCGCCUAAGUCUGAAGGUUACCUGAAAGAGACAAAUAAACAGAAAGUGAGUUUUCAAAACUUAGUGUGUAACUCAUUAAAUUAGUAUCAUAGAUUAAAUCUCAGGCAUAUCUCAUAACAGAACAGACACAGAACAUAUAUCACAUACAAAAACAGAAUCAGAUGCAUAUUUUCAAUCAUACCCCCAUCCGUUACACACCAUCUCUGACUAUCAUUAUACACCAUAUAGAGUACUAAAUAUCCAUCCAACUCUACACACAGCUUAGUGUCAAUAUGACAUUUUUCAAAAUAUUUGUAGCUUAGCUGCCAGAUCUAUAGAAAUAUGUGUGGUUGAGCCACCAAAUACGACAGGUUAUUAUACUGCUCACACUUCCUCCAUAUAUACCAUCCCAACCCAAAUGCAUAUACAAAAAUAUCAUAUGCCAUAUAUGUAUUUGUCAUACGUGCUCAAUAUCAAACUCAAAUCAUGUUUAUUGAAUAUCAGAUCAUACACAACAUUUCUCAGUUCAUUCAUAGCAUAUUACCUAUCUUAUAUCAUAUCAAACAUGCAUAUUUAUAUCUAAUUUUACGCUAAUAGAUGAUCAAAUUUCGAGUUUUAUGGCUUAAUUUAUAACAUACCGACCCUAUGAAAGGCCUAUGAUCGAUCAACAUGAUGUUUACAGUCUUCAGAAUUUUGAGCCCACACGUUCGUGUAGCCCACACACUCAAAUGGCAUAGACCGUGUGUCACACAUGAUCCAUCACACAGUCUGUCACACGACUGUCUGUCACACACGGCCUACCACACGGCUUGGCACACAGCUGUGUGGCGCUGACUGUGUAGUUUUUCGACUUUCGCCGAUCGCUAUUUUUGUGUUGUUUGUUACACACCUUGGAAAAAAAAUUGAUGUAUGUUCAAAAUCGAAUAUUCCAAUACCUAAACACGUUAAAUAAGCACCACUAAUUUUAGUAAUGAUUCACGAAAUCUGACCAAGAAUUAACCACAAUCGAGCUUAAACGACACUCCACAAACCUAUCCGUACACUUACCGUUAAACGAGUAGCACUACACGAAUCCUAAGUCUUUGGAGGAACACCAAACACCCCUUGAUCAUCUCUUAAAAGCACAACGGUAAAAUUACAAACAAAACCUAGUGAACAACCCCUUGUUCGAUUGAACAUAUAUAACAACCCAUAAUUAAAAUAAAAUACCAAACAUACAAUAGACGAACCGAUCUCUUACCCAACACCCGAACUGAAAAUAAUGAGGAAAGCAUCAAAUAUAACAAAAAUAUGACAACCAGAAUAAAAAUAGAAACAAAACAAAAGAACAAGAAUCAAAAGAAAGAAUAGAAAGGAACUAAACAAACGAUUGCAAAGCAGGGUAGAUGGCGGCGUGAAAACGGGAAAAGAGGGAACAAACGUGGGGAAAAAAAAGAAAUGGGAGCAGAUUACUUGGAAAUUCAAAACAAAAUAGAAUAAAAUGAAAUAAUGAUAAAAAUAAAAGAAGUCCAACGUGACACUAGGCUGGGAAGGAAAAAAAUAAAAAUAAAAUAAAAAUAAAAUAAAUUUAUAUUUCAAAAAGAAUUUAAAUCUUAUCCCACUUUUAACUAACCAAAUUUUUAAGAGUUUAAUAAAAAUCUAAAAUCUUCCACAAGCUUGCUAGAAAAAUAAAAUAUUCCUUACACAUACGGAAACUCAAGCAUGGAACCACAAGCAGACACAUUAAGCACUUAACCACCCAACUAGAACACAUCACAUGACAACAACCAACAAAUUAAAACUUAAAUUUUUGGGGCGUUACACACCUCCUGGAUCCCAUUCAAAAACUCGCAGGAAUAAAGGAUUGAUCAUUCUUCCUCUUUAGAAAACCCUAAGUCCCCAGCCACUUCCUUUCUUCUUCCUCUUUUCUCCAUCUCCCUUAGCAUUAUAUUCUGGCUCUCACUUGUCGCAGGUGAAUCAAUCCUCCAGUCACCACCACCUUCUCCUUCUUGUCUCCUCCUUACUGAUUCCCUAUAUCAACAAUUGGUGUGGUGAGCGUGGAUCACAAACCAUGGCUUAUUCUUCCACUGACAUCUCUAUUAACCCUACAAACCCAAACAUUGGAUAUAAUAUAUAUUAAUUGGAUAAAAAUUGAUGAUGGCAAAAAAAAUGUAUUUUAGGAGUAUGUACGUGUUGGUUUAAUUAAUUUCAAUAUUAGUACUAAAUUUAAUGGCGGUUAUAUUGACUAUGAUAAAAGUCAUAUAAAAAACAUGAUUUAUUUAUAUGUAUAUAUGUGUGUUGAAGGGAUUUUUAUUUCAAGUUUAUUUUAUUUUGUUGAGAUUGAAUUUUGCAUAAAUAUAAUUUGAAAAAUAACUUGUGCCAUCCUAAGGAAUUGCCUUACCAAGAACAAGUUGUCAUUUUUUAUUGAAAACCUUUGGGUCAUAAAAUUUGUCUUUGUUCUUUAUGAGUUAUAUUAUUCAUGUUGCCUCAUUAGUUAUCCCCGUUUGAAGUUAUAUUUUCAUGAUUUGUUGUAAGAAGAUUUAUAACUCUAUUUUAUUAUUAUUAUUAUUUCUUCUACAUAUUUCUGUUUUGUUUUAUUUUUUGAGGGAAUUUCAAAAUUAUACAUUAUUGGGUGCAAGUAUUGUAGUAAAUCUACCUUGCUAAGACCUCAUUUCACUGGAAAUUCCAUAAUUGACUGGUACUCAUGUCUAUUCUAUAUCUAAUUAUCAUGUUUCCUGUAGAGAAAACAAUGAAGAACAAAAGCCAUACCCCACCAUUUUUUCCUAUCACCCACUUCAUUCUCUACCAUGGACUAUGACAAUAGUCAUGCCUUUCAAAGCCAUCCUUCUAAAGGCAGAUUCUCAUGCUCGAUAUAAAAAAGGAUGGGAAAGACAGUUAACACUAUAACAUCUUUUGAACCAAGGGGUAGUACUUCCAUCUUCUCAAGGUAUUGAUAUGUCUUUGCCUUCAGAGACCCCCAACUAAGAUACUCCUUCUAUUAGUUUUGUGGUGGAUAGUUCAUGAUCUUCUCAUAUUGUAUACAACUUGUUACUUUAUUUACAUUAUGACUUUUGGUGACUUUUAAUAUUUAUAUUAUGACUUUUGGUGACGAUUUAUUUAUAUUAUGAGUUUGUGCUUUUUGUGAUGUUUUUAUAAUUAUAUCGUUACUUUAGAUUAGAAAUAAAAGUAACUAAAAAUACUUAUUUUGUGUCCUCUUUGUUUAAAUUUUCGUGACAUUUUUAAACAUUACAAAUAAUUAAAUAUUUUGUGACGCUUUUUUGUCUAACUUUUCAUGACAUUUUUAAACAUCAGCAAAUAGAUAAUAUUUUCAUGAUAUUUUGGUUGGUCAACGUCACACUUAUAAGAGAAAGAAAAUUUAAAAUUUUUCGUGCCAUUUUAACUUUUUGUGACGUUUAAAAUUGUUACAAAAGAGCAUUUCUUUUACAUUUUUAAAGCGUCACAAACUUUUCGUUAUUUUUCAUGCGUCACGCUUUCCUACAUUUCACCCAAAACAUCAUGAAACUCUAAAACUACCUUUUCAUGACUUUUUGUGUUGUUUUUGUGAUGUUUUUGAAAUGUCAAGAAAAAACAUUUUUGGUGUAGUGAGUGAUGAUUUGGCCUUUUCUCUUAUAUAUAAAUGGCUUAGAAUAAAAUGGUGGAUAGGAUUAGGUAAAAGUACUAAGGAAGCCAUUGUAUUCGGAGUCGGAUUGCAUUUUACCCCCUCUACUCAAAAAAUGGGAAAAUUAGUCCUUAUACGUUAGAUCAAUGAGUAGAGUGGUAAUUUUGUUAAAAAAUUCAUCCAUUUCUACUAUUAAAUGCUGAUGUUGUUAAUGGAGAAACGAAGCACUAACACAUGGUGUGUCUCAUGUACCUCAUGCCAAUCUUAAUUUUUUAAAAAUUUAAAAUUAUUAAAAAUAAUGUCUAGAAUGAUCUUAGACAAAUGUUUGUCCAAGCUCGAAUGAACCUGGACAAUAUUUUGUCCAGGUUCAUUCUAGAGUGGUUUCUUAAAUAAUUAUAAAAAUAUUUAAAAAUUAUUAUGAAUUAUAAGAAAAUUUAAAUAACUUUUAAAAGUUUUAAAAAUUAUAAAAAUUAUAUAUACACACGUAUAGUAUGUGUAAUAACUCGAUUUCCAAUGGUAUCUAAAAAUGUAGUUUCAAGACUCCAUUUUUGUAAAUCGAGUCCGUAAAUAUUUAAUAGGGAUAUUUACGAAAUUAGCAUAUUGAUGAAUUGAAAUUUGGUUAAGCGAUUUAGCCGAAAUUGUGAGAAAUUAAAGUCAGGGACUAAUUCAUAAAAGUCCAAUCACUAUAGAUUUUUAAUUAUAAUAAGGCUCAAGGACUUAAAUUGUAAUAAUCCAAAAGGCCAAAAUGGUUAAUAAACCAUUUUAGAUUAUAUUCUAGUGGACGGUAAUGCAUGUAUUAAUUAAAUUAAGAAAAUAAAAGUUUAAUAGCUAAGAAAAUAUGAUUAGUUAAGUAAACAAAGCUUAAUUAACUAUUAAACCAUGUAUAAAAGGAAGCUUAGUGGAAGGAGAGAUGAUAGAUUCAUCUUCUCCAAUCGGCCAAAGAAGAAACCUAAGAGAAAAACACCAUUUUUUAUAGUUUGAAGCUUUCAGCCUCUAAUUCCAAGUCCCUAGCCAUUUUUCAUUAAUUUUUAUAGAUUUGAGGUCAUGUGAGCUUGAUUUAGCUAGUUCAUGUACUAAUUUGUUUUACUGUUAAAGUUUUGAAAGUUUCCAUUGUUGUAAAUUGAAUGAAAUUGGUGUGAAAUUAUUAGAAAUUAAUCUUAGCAUAUGAAAAGGACUAAAUUGUAAAGUUUAAUUAUUAGUUUCUUACAUUAGGGACCAAAUUGAAUAAAAUGAAAAAUUGUCAUGAAUCGUUGGUAGGGAUAGAAAAUAGAGGGUCCUUAAUGAGUUUUGGUGAAAUCAGAUUCUAAUCCAAAGCUCUAAAUUAAAAGUUAUGCUUGUCCCGAUUUUAGGGACUAAAUUGAAUAAUUUGCAAAAUAUGUGAAAUUUGUAUUUGAUUAUGAGUUUGCUGGAAAUUGAUAAUGUGAUAUGUUUUAUGACUACUUUUAGCUAACGACAACACCAAACAACCGAGAGGGAAAGAAAAAGUGAAAAUCAUCGACGAGUGACGCGCGAAACCUCAAUUUGUACUUUUAUAAUUUAGAAUUGAUUGAAUUCUUGAUUAUAUGUGUUAAUUUGAUGAAUAUAUGUUAAGGUAAGUAAAUGAUGAGGUUGUGAAUGAUUUUGAUUAGUUGUGAUAUAAAUUAUCGUAUUAGAGGACUAAAAUGAAUAAAAUGGAAAAUAGCUUGAAAUAUUUGAAUUGUGAUAGGUAAAAUGAGAAUUGAAAUGAGAUAGGUUACGUACAUAUAACAUGAUAUGAAUUAUAAACAUUUGAUGAUUAAAUUGGCUAUGGAUAUGCACAUGAAUGUGAAAUGUUAUAUGUACAUGUUAUAUAUUAUUAUUGCACUUUGGUACCUUAUUAACUAGUCGGGCCGAGUUAGACAUAGUUGGCAUACCAUAGGAUUUGAUUGUGUACAGGAUUAUGGGCUUAUGCUCCAGGAUGCACCUCAGGUUCCAGGAUGCGCUUAGUGCGCCAGUAUAAACUUUACGUGCCUCUUUACCCUUUUUCGGUUCAUCGAUGAUGCACUUCAGUGCCCAUUUGGUGUGUUGGAUGGAUGAUUCAUGUAUCCGUUCGAUUCUAAGUCGUGUUAAUAGGGUUAUGAAUGGUAAGCUCAACAAAUGACUUUGUGAAAUGGUAUAAUUAAUGAUAAUGUCUCACUUAUACUUUAUGCGAAUGGUGAUAGAAAGAGCAUAUGAGCUAUUGUAUAAAAUGUUUGAAAACAAGCCCUAGAGGUCGAAAAUGAGCAUGAACGAGUCAAACGACUCUAGGAAAGGGAUUGAAAGAUAAUUGAUUAGGUAAAUGAUAUUAGAUCAAAUAUGGUAUGAAACAUCAUGCUAGCAAAGGUAAACAAAAGUGUGAAUUUGACUCAUGAAUGCUAUUAAGUGAGUAUAGGGUUAAAUAUUGAUAAUUGGCAAAUUAUAUGGAAUUGGUCAUGCUCAUGGUGAUUUUGGACAAGUUUUUUAAGUAUGAAUAUAUGUAUGUUUUAAUGUAUGGUAAAUUGGUAAGAAUGAUUGAUAUUUUGUAACACAAUGGCUUGGAUUUGAGUGCAUAAUCUCAUACAUAGUCUUGACAUAUGUUUAUAACUUACUUAUGUUGCUAUUUUGUACAUGUUUAUAAAAGAUGUGUUAAUGUUGAACGUGGUAUUUUAGGCUUGUUUUAAUGGGGAAUGGUUGAAAUUGAAGUCUUGAGAUUAGUAUCUAUGUGGUUGAUGAUGUUUUGGUAAGGUUCAUUUAGGUACCAAAUUGGAGUUCUUGAAUUGCAGGUAUCAGGUCGAUACGACAUACCUUGAAUGUUGCGACAAGAAUCAAUUUAGAGCUCACGUUGCGACAACGUAACCUUGAGGUCACAACGAACUCUAGUCAGAGAGUCACGUCGCGACAAGGAAAACCCUAAAGUCGCGACAUCAAUUCAAUAUUUUGUAACCUUUACAAUUUGAUCCAUUUCGACCCUGGGUUAAUAAAAGAGCGUUUUUAGGCUUGUGUAAGGCCUACAAUUGAUAAUGAAUUGUUUAGUUAGCAUGAAUUACUUGUAUUUAAAUGUAUAUUGACAUUGAAUUGGAUGUUAUCGAUUGUAGUUGCUCCGACAAUGAAUGUGACACCAUGUAACUCGAACCCAGUGGUCGAGUCGGGUAUCAGGGUGUUACAGCAUGUUUAAAGAAUUCAAAUAUAAACCCCUACAUAUUCUUAAUCUAGUUGAUAUUUUUAGUUAAUCAAGUUGAUGAGUCCUAUUUUAUUAAUUUAUUAUAAUUCUUAAUAAAUUUUAAAUAAUUUUCUAUACAUAAUUUUGUAUAAUUAUUUAAAAAACAACUUCAUAAUGAACUUAGACAAAUGGUUGUCUAGUCUCAUUUAAACUUGGACAACAAUUUGUCCAAGUUCAUUCUAGACAUUUUUUUUAUAAUUUUAAAAAAAUUAUAGUUUCUUAUAAAUUUUAAUAUUUUCAAAUAUUUUUCUAUAAUUUUUAUAAUUAUUUAAAAAACCACACAUAAACUGGACAACAAUUUACCUAGGUUCAUUUGAAUAUGGGCAACCAUUUGUCUAGAUUGAUAUUGGAUGUACUUUUUAAUUUUUCAGAUUUUUUAUUUUUUAAAUAUUUUUUAAGAUGGCAAAAUGUACCAGAUCAGAAUGAGGUACACAUGGCACACCUUGUGUCACUAUUUGGUUGCUCCGUCAGUCACGUCAUCACCUAAAAGUAGAAAUAGAUGAAAUUUUUAACAGAAAGACCAAAUUGCUUUUUGAUUUAAUGUACAGUGACUAAUUUGCUCAUCCUUUUGAGUAGAGGGGCAAAUUGCAAAUUACAAUCUGACUCCUAGUACAGAGACCUCCAUGGUACUUUUACCUAAUCCUACUUGUCUUUUAAUUCCAUGCCACUUACAUAAAAAAAAAACUUUGAAAAAAAUCAAAUCAUCUCUUAACAAUAUGGAAUUAUUAUUGGAAAGAUCAAUUUACAUUUUUUUUUCUAACAUACAAAUUUACCCAUUUUUUUAAUAGAGGUAACAAAAAUCAAUCUAUCUUCUAAUAUAAAGACCUCCAAAAUAAUCUCACCUAUGUUGUAUUUAUAUACCCCGUACAUGUAAUAUAGAGUUAUAUAUAGAUCUAUCUUCCUCCCAAGCUCCAAACGCACACACAUACAUGCAAAUAUAUUUAUAAAAUAUAUUAUAUAAUAUAUCAGCAGGCAAAAUUAUAAUAUAUACUAUAUAAUAUUAAUAUUAAUAUGUCUAUCACACACGUAUGUAUGUAGAAAUUGUAUUUUGAAAUUUAUAUGUGUAUAAAAAUUGCAAUAUAAAUAAUAUAACAUAUAGUUUGAAACAAGUAAUAAUACAGCAUAUGCAUAUGUACAAAAUUAAAAUUACUAUAUAUUAAAGAUAUAAACACACGCAUGUGUAAAAACUACAAGAUAUUAAAGAUAUAACAUAUACUUUGAAUUCAAAGUAAAAAUUACUAAUCUAGUGAUAAAAAUAUUUGUGUUAUGGUAGGAGAGUUUGAAUUCAAUCUUUAGCAAUCCCACCCUACUCCCAAUUAUCAUCAUAAUAAUAAUAUCACAGAUGCAUAUGCAUAAUUAUAACGUAUUAUGUAAUAUAUCAACAUAUAUUAUAUAAUAUAUCUUGAGAAUGGGUGUCUUUGGUGGUUGAAUGAGAUUCUCUUGUUACAUGUUUCGUGGGUACGUAUUGGAUUUUUUGCUCGGCUGUAAUUGCCCUGUUGUAUUGGAUUUUUUCUUAAUAUAAAAGCCUAGCAAAACGGAAAAAAAAAGUUGGAUAUAACAAAGGACUUUUGUAAUUUUUUCCUUUUUUUUAUAUAUAAUAAUUAAAGAAUAAAUAUAAAUAUAAUAAAAUAAAUGAUAAAAAUACAAAACAAGAAAGAAAAGAGUAGUAAAAUUAAUAAUAAUAAAACAUAAACGAAUUUAAUCUUAAAUUUAAGAUUAAAACCAUCGGACUUAUGCCUAUAACUAUUCCUCUCCAUCCUUACCCUUAUAAGAAACUCUAAAAAAAUGUGAAAUUUGCGGUUUAAAGUAUAAAUUAUGAAUUAUUAUAAAAGAGAGAGAUGGAGAGAAUAAAGAAUAAAGAAAAUAUAAAAGUAAUGGAGGAUGUACUUUAUUGAUCAAAUGGAUGAUUACAAUGCUUUAUCAGAGGCAAAAGAAGUAUAAAAGAAAUAGAGAUCUAAUUCUAAUAACUUGAUCAUGAUGGACAUCCACUUAAUAAAAUAUUCAUAAACAUUAAUCAAGUUUUGAUAUCUAUUAUUAUUUGUUUGUAUAUGUAAAUUCUAGCCCAAGAAAGCACCAUUUCAACUAGAGGACCUAAAUAAUGCAAGAAAGAAGAGCUGAAAUGCUUCGUUUUCGUUUAUUAUAUUAUUACUAAAGUAAUUACAAUCAGGAUCGUUAAAAUGAUAUCAUUGAGUCCUAAUCACGUGUUUCAUUAGAUAAAAAUGAGAAUGUAUACUAUUGCAUACAUGCAUGGUGGAGCUAAUUGCUUCAAUCAUGUGAACAAAAUCAGACAAAUUAGAUAAUUGAUAGGACAUUUAAUUAGAGAAUAAUGUUUGUUGAAAGUAACUUUUUAACUUCCUCUCCAUUCAUAAACCUUCAUCAAUCUUGUCUAUUACUCAUCUUUUAGCACGUAUAUAAAAAACAAAGACAUGAUAUUUUGUCCACACUUCACCUUCGUCUCAAAUUAUAAAUUAAAAGUUUGAGUUAAAAUUUACUCUAAGUCCCUAUAUACUCCGUAUAUUUGAAAUUUAGUCCCUUACUUUUCAGAUUUAAAAAUUUAGGUCUAGUUGCUUCCUUCAUUAAAAUUCUUCUAUUACAUUCUCUAGUAUGAUAUUUUGAAAUUAAAAAAAAAAAACUUCACUUGACAGUCAUUUAACCAAAAAAAUACUGAAAAUACUAAUUAGGGUUUUUUCCCCCCUUAAAUACACUCAUUCGAAAUCAUCAUGAUAAAUUAAUUAUUGUCGAAUACUUUUCUUAAGAAAAGUAACUUUGCCAUUUUGAUUGAAAUAGUUAUUAACGUUAACUCUUAGACUAUCUAAUGUCAUUAUAAAAGUAGAAUAACUAAAUAAUGUAAAAAAAUUAUUUGUAUUUGCACAAGUUGGAAUUCCAACAAUUACUUUUUCAAGUAAAAAUGUUUUUUAUAAAUUUUAUAUAAAUGCAUGAAACUACAAAAAAUUCCUAUAAUAAUAUUUAUUAAAUAUUUAAUUAUUAACUUUUUAAUAUUUUUCUAAUAAAGUUGCUAUUGAGUUAAUUGGAGGUGAGAGAAAGUUUGAUGGUAACCACACUUCUCUAUCUGUUUUGUUCUUUGUAAAAAUUUUAUGUAAAAUAGGGACAAUCAUUCAACCAAUUCCAUCUCUACGAUGGUUAUGAUUUAUUGAAAGUUGUUUGAGCAUACGAAUUCUACAUCAAUCAAGUGUCAUGGUUGGAGGUUAGAUUAUUACUAUUUUAUCGCUUGAGAUUAUUAUUGAAAUAAUGAUAUUUGUUGAAAAAUACUAGAGGGAGUCCCCACUCCCUUGCCCACCAAAUUUGUAUGGAGACAAUUUUCAUAUUUAAGUUGUUGGCAAUUUAUUGAAUUGAUUAUUUGGAUAUGUUGAUUACACGAAUGAUAUCUAGCCCAUUAUGAAAGAUCAUAUUAUGUUGAUUAUUUUCAUAUUAUUUGAAUGAUAUCCUAGAUGCUAUGGGGAAUUUUUCGCACAGAAAGUUUUUUAAUUGGAGAAUUCUUCAUUUUUGUCUUAGAAAUAAGGUCGAUAUUGAGUCCUGGGUCGAUACCAGUACAAAGAGUAACAAAAAUAUUAAGACUGUGGUUAAGAAUUAUCAACUAAUUGAUAAAAUGGACCUUUUUUAUUUCACAAUUUAUCAAGAUCAAGAAAGCAACCCAUCCAAUAAAAAAGGAAGCCAUUUUGAUUGGAUGGGACUGAAUGAAGAAAUACUAAGUCAUACUAUACUAGUACCAAUAGGUGGCAUAGAGGAAGAAGCACUACGCCUAGGAAUCAACAACACGAAAACUUUGUUAUUAAUGAUUCCCUUUCUUUAUCGGGAUCGAAACUAAGAGAAAUGGUUGGGACAACAAACAUCCAUCUUGUUUGUACUUUGGAUACCCAUAUAACCAUCAAAGAUUGUUGAAGUAACUAAUUUCUGGAAAUUAAGGAGCAUUGAGAACAAAGAAAUUGUUGGAGUUUACUUUUUUAUUUAGUACGAACACGCUUGAUGUUAACAAAAGAUAUAUCUACUAAUAUGUACUAACUACCUUGAUUUAUUAUGAUUCAUAUUUUUUAAAAAUGUUUUUUGUAAACUACACUUAUAGUCACUCAAAAAUAGGGUUUGUCCUAUUCGGUCACUCCAAAAUUUUUUCUCAAUUUAAUCCUUCUAAAUAAGAUAAGUAUGUGAAUUAGUCACCACCAUUAAAAUUUUUGUUUUCUUUUAGUAGAUUGUUGAUGUGGCACAUUAACACAUUGAGUGAUUGACAUGUGGUUUUUUUUUGACUUUUUACUAAAGCUUACAGACCUCAUUAUAAUUAGUCCAAAACUUUUUCCCCUAAACUUUAAUCAAUAGUCAAACAUGAAAAUGUCAUGUGUCUAUCACUCAAUGGGCUAAUAUACCAUGUCAACAACCUGUUAAAAAAAAUAACAAUUGAUAGUGACUAAUUUACACAAUUAUCUUAUUUAGAAUAAUUAAGUUGAGAAAAAAAUUUGGAGUGACCAAAUAGGACANNNNNNNNNNNNNNNNNNNNNNNNNNNNNNNNNNNNNNNNNNNNNNNNNNNNNNNNNNNNNNNNNNNNNNNNNNNNNNNNNNNNNNNNNNNNNNNNNNNNCCUGUUUAUUUAUUAUUAUUUUAGUUUUAGGAUUCAAAAUUUGAAUUAGAAAUUAGAGAAUUCUAUUAAAUUCUAUUCUUAUUCUAUUUAAUUUCUAUUAAAUCCAUUUAUUUAAUAUUUAAUUUAAUUAAAUAAAUUACGGUACCAUUAAAAUUAUUAAAUUCGAUUUUCUAUUCAAUUUGAAUAUUUAAAUAGUAAAAAAUAUUAAUUUAAUUGGAAUUGUUAAUUGUGUAAUGAUUUGGUUUUGUUGGACCCAUGGGUCAAAUAAAACGGAGCAUUUCUCUCUCUGGGAAAAACCAAUCAAAGAAUUUCAUUAUAUCCUUUCUCAAAUCGUUCUAUUUCGUUUGAUAUUUCGUAAGGAUAAGUAAUACACGGAUAUAGCAAAAUCAAAUAUAUAU